AUGAGGGACUGAUUAUGGUCAUAAGUACCUUUUUCCCAUUAAUUUCUUGCAUGUGCUCUGCUGAGAUUAUGUUUUUGACAGUCCAAAUCAGGGCAAACCAACAAACAGCUUUAUGUUAACUUUUACAAACUGCCACAUUUUCAGGUUAAACAAACAGAGAUAAAUCUUGGUGAAACUAGAAGUAAUACAACCUGUUCUGUGGAGAUAAAAGAAAGGGCAGCAGUACUGGUGGCUGCAGAAAUUGAGGCAUGUAGAGACGAUAGAACCCCCAAGAUACCUCUUCAUGAGAAAGUCCAGAAAGAGUGGGCUUGUGCUGUAUGCCAGUUCACAACCCAAACUGAAGCGACCUUCAAUUCCCACCUUCAAGGGAAGAGACAUCAGGCCAUUUCUGAGCAGCUGAGAGCCAAAAACCAGGCAACCAAAACCAAUUGUUCCCCAUCUGCUUCAAUGGCCAAGAAAUCUGAUCAGUCCACCAAAGAGGAGCAACCAAAGUGUACUUCCAACAAUCUGAAUUCCAAAAACAAUGGAAUCUCAGCUGCUUCAACAGUGAAGAAACUUGAUGAGACCAAAGAUGAUGAGCAACAAAAGUCUGCAUCUAGCAAUGGACCAAACCAGAAGAAUAACAAAAAGCAAGAGGUACAGACCAAUGAGCAAGGCCAUCAGAAGAACUCAAGGCAAACUGGUGAUGGAAUGAAAGAGUUGAGAUCAUGGUGCAAUAUCUGUAAUGUAAGCUGCACAAGGGAGCUUGACCUGGCCUCUCAUCUCAAUGGAAGGAGGCACUUUGAUAGGAUAAAGCAGCUGUCUGAAUUAUGGUGCAGUAACUGCAAUGUAAGGUGCAACAGUGAGGUUGAUAUGGCCUCUCACCGAAAUGGGAGGAGGCACUUGGAGCAGCUGAAGGAACAGUUAGGAUUAUGGUGCAGUAUCUGUAGUGUGAGUUGCAACAGCAAGGUGGACAUGGAUUCUCACCUAAAUGGGAAGAGUCACUCGGAUCAGAUCAAGGACCAGUUAAGAUUAUGGUGUGGGGCAUGUAAUGUAACCUGCAAGAGUGAGCGCAACAUGGCCUUUCAUCUGAAUGGGAGGAAGCACUUAGAGAAGAAGGGGAAUACCUGAUUUGCUCUUCAGAUUAUUGAUACUUACAAAUGGUUUUAGUUAGAAGCAUACAGACCAGUGGGUGGUGCUCACAGAUGCCUCUAUUUUGUUGUAUGAAGUAAAAACAGUAUUUCCAUGUCCAGAAAUCAACCACUUGUUUAGUGCAUGCAUGGCUGGUUCAAAAUUAAACCUAAUUGUGAAUGACUAGGAGCAGGGAGGGAAAAAUUGAAGUGAAGAAUGUAAGAUUAUGGCUUCAUUUUUAUUUUUUCCUCUUCUGAAAAUUGUAAGAUUGUGUUAGGAGGAGCUGGAAUGGGUUCAAAUCAGGAAUUAAGACCCAGUUCCAAGACAUGGAAAGUGUCUUUAGAUUAUGUUAAGUUAUUUCCAUUUUUUUUUCUUUAUUUACGGUAAGAGGGAGCAUAAGGAACGAAAAUGAAUAUUUUUUUUUUUUCGAAUAAAAAUGAAUUUGAUAAUUUCAAUUAUUGUGUUUGGAUGUAUUUCGGAAUGUAAGAUUAAAAUAAUUAUUUGUUUUCAUUUUAGUGUUUGAUAAUAAUGAAAGUAUGAAUUAAAAAAUAAAUUGAUAAUAAUAUUCUUAUAUUUAAUUUAAAAUAUAUAUAUAUUUUUUAUUUUAGAAGAAUAUGGGUUAAAAGUUUUUUUUUUUUUUUAAAUAAUAAGCUUAAGAAAAAUAAUUUUUACUCAAUAAAUAAAAUUAAUCAUACAAAGUCAUAAAAACCAAACCAAAAUAUAAGGGUAAAAUAAUAAUUUUAAACUAUUCAUUUAAGUUAUCCAAAUGCAUUCCGACUCUUCAUUCUCUUAUACCAAAUACCGUCUUUAAGUAUUUGUCAAACUUAUUUUUUUGCAAAAUAUCAAUAUUUUACUAAUAUUUUUAUCGAUUAUUUGCCGAUAUUUAUCGCCACGUCACCAAUUCUUUGAGUUUGACUUUCAAAAUUUUGAAAUGAUCUUUGAAGUCCAGUUCAGCCCAAAUCACUACACCCAUGAACUCAUCUACAAAAGGGAACGGCUGGGCCACCACACUAAUAUGGCCCAUACAUGGGACCUCGUAAAAGAAUACCCAUCUUCAAAAAUAGGGACCAUAUUAAAUUAUUAAUGUAGCUAUAGGAAGCAUUUGAGGACAAGGGUUAUGAUUUUUCCCUUUUCUUUUUCUCCUUAAUUUUCACAUCACCCAACAACACCACUCUUAAUUCACACAAAUUUGAAGGUUUGGAAUGAGACUUCUUCAUAAUUAUAUUGUAAUUAUGUUAUAAUAACCAUGUCGUUUUUGGAUUUAUUUAUUCAGUCCAUCUAAAUCUUUUGUUUAUUCGCGUCAAAACAAUAUAUUUAUAAUCGAAUCCAUUUAUGACAUGUUCAUCUUUUAUAAAUUCAUUAAUUUUAUAUAUUUAAAAUUUAUAAAAGUUAAAUAUAUUUUUUCAAUUAUGAAUAUCAUAUUACUAAAAUAUUAAAUAACUAAUUAACUUGAAAUGUUUUAUAUUUCAUUAAUUAUUUUAUAAUUACAAAAUUAAGUGAAAUAAUAAAUAGGUUAAAAUAUAUAUUUUAUUUUAGUUAAAAAUUAUAAAUUGUUAUUGAGACACAUAACUACUAAAAUUCUACCCAUUUGACUAUCAAACAAACAACUUAAGUUUUUAGUCAUAAUUUAAGCUUAUGAUAAACUCUAUUUACAAAAAUUAGAAACCAAAAUCAAAUUCUUCCUAGACUCAAAAAUAUAAAGACAAUCUUUUAACUUUAGAAGAGAACUAUCAUCUAAGAUAAGGGUAACACAUCCCAUUGCCUGUACAACAAUUCUUGCUUCAAAAGCUAAUGUUAGGUACAUAUCCCUAUCAUUCAACCUUUCCCUUAGCUAAAACCCCUAUAAAGAAUUAUAAACAUGAUCAAUGGCUCCAAAAUUUAUCCACCAAGAGUUAGUGGAAUCUAAUACUAAACAUGAUUCAACUAAAAGAGAAUGAUGCAUACCUGACUGUCUCUUUAAGAACUAAGGGCAUUCCUUUUUCUAAUGGCCUUUUUUACCACAAAGGAAACAUUUGUCAUGACCCUUACUCUUCUUCUUCUUCUCUUGCCCUUGAACUUUCCCUUCUGUUUGGUGAAUUCUAUAAUGUUCUUAUUUUGGUUAGAAGAACCUAAAGAACACUUAACUGCCAUAUAAAUACCUCUCUGAUCCUUGAGAAUUCCCUCAAUCAUUUUGUGUUCUCUCAUCAGUUCGGUUAUAGUUUAAGAAAAAAAUUGUUUUUUUUAUGUGACUAAACUUGGAAUGAAUGUCCAAGUUGCAUACAUACUCGGGUUGAGAUCAAGUCAUAAUGUAGUUUAAGAAAAAUAUUUUUUAUUUUUUAUUUUUAUUUUUUAUCUGAUUGAACUUGGAAUGAAUUUCUAAGCUACUUACGUAUCCAGGAUGGGAUCAAGUUCUAACAUAGUCACAAUGCAGUUCAAGAAUUAUUUUUUUUUCUUUUUUUGUGCUCCAACUUUUGCCAAGACUAAAGAUCUUAAUUUUGCGAGCAUGUCCUAACUUUUGCCUAGGUCGCCUUUCCAAGUUUUCAAUUUAGCAAACUAGGUUUUUUUUUUUCUUUUUAGUUCUCUAACUUUUGCCAAGACUAAAGAUUUUAAUCUUGUAAGCAUGUCAUAACUUUUACAUAAGUCGAAUUUUUAGGUUUUCAUAGUGCUGGAUUUUUUUUUUGUUUUUUGUUUUUUUUUUGUGUCGUAGUCAAUUUAAGCUCAUAUGGGUUGGAAGCGAUGUGUAGUUUGUUGGGAUUGAGCCCUUAAAAGCAAGACAUGAUGUAAUAAAGUUAAACUUAACUAUCCCCUUACUAUCCUUUUGGUGUAUCAACAUUGAUUUAAACAUUCAACCCAUAUCUCUUACAUUGUAUAUGAUUUAGAAGCAUUAGGAGUUGUACAGAAGAUACAAGUUAUGUGUUCUUUGUAAGUAGGUGAGUUAUCCAUAGUCAUUUCAUGGAUUUGGGCAAUCUAGUAGAGACUAUAGUGCACCACCUCCUAAUUGAAGGGAUGACUUGUCUUGGCCGUUGGGAUGAGUUUCCUAUGGUGAGCGUACUAGUGUAUAUGAUGCACAUUGGAUAGGACCUAUGACAAAUCAUGAUGCAAGGCUAUCAAUUGUCAUGAUUCACCAAGUUACUAUACUACAUGGACUCUCAACCUUGAGAGGACAUUGAACCUGUGUCAAAAUCAAUAGAAAGUUUUGACCUAUGGGCGAGACCCUAAAGUAGUCAUAUAUCCUUAUGAAUUAGGUCAUUGUUGAUGGAGGCUAGUGAUAAUAGGCAUUCUCAAUAGAGGCACCAUGAUAUGUCAUGCGAUUGAGAUGGUGUGUCCCUUUGGGUGAUCCAAGGAACAUGUGAUCAUGAAAUUUGUGGCCACAGUAAUUCCUUUAGUGGAAUUUGACAUAUGCUCAAGGAUUUGAGAGAUAAUAUUGAUAGGUGAUAACACUAUCUUGUUAGAUUAUAGACACCAGUUUCAUGGGGAAUCUGCAUGUAGUGGAUAGUAGGUCAUGAAUGCGAGCUUUGUCUCGUUGUUAUUUACAUAAGGUACUGGAGUGUAGUUGAUUCUCUUUAGUAGAAUGUUAAAUCAACUUCAAAAUUGGAUUAUGAGGGAGCCAGUACUCCUAUGGGUCUCAAUGGUCCCCACUCUAAGCUUAUAUACCAUGAUGACAUAAUUUAUGAGGGUUGGAUUGGCUUUAGGUUCAUUCUUAUGCAUAAGGGCAUUUUGGUAAUUACUCAAGGUUGCAUAGGGGAUAAUAAAUAAGGUCUCUAGAUUGGACUAAUUGAUUAAUUAGAUGGCCUUAUGUGGUUAAUUAAUCAAUUAAGACAUGUUAGGGCUAGAUUAAGUGACUCAAGCCUUGAUGGGUUCAAGUCACUUAAGCCUAGUGGGUAACCGUAUAAAUACCCCCUUAUGGGUUAGGGUUUUCUAAUGACUUUUAGUUAGUCAUCUUCCACUUUUAGAAAAAUAGAGAGAGUCAAAGCUUCCUCCUUUCCACUGCCCACACUUUGGAAUGCCAAGAUCGUGGAUCGAGUCAUCGAACGAAAGAUCUUGGGUGUAUGAGACCUUCGAACUCUUUAGGCUUCUUCUUCGUUGGAUGGAUUUUGAUCUAGGAACAUCUAGAUCACAUGUAUGUGUUAUAAAAUUUGGUUAAUUCAACCUAAGGUAAUCAUCCUAGAGAAGGGGCGAAUAGGGUGAUGAUCUUUUUUUGAAAAUUUAAAUUAUGUGAAUGCAAGAGACAAUUAUAUGCAAAAUAUAUAGCAAAACCAUAUAAAAACAAUUGCAUAUAAAGUAAAAGGGUAAGGAAGAGAGAAAAUAAACACAAGAUUUUUAUAGCGAUUCAGUGCAACCCGACCUUCAUCCAUUCUCCUCUAGCUUCAAUCCCAAACUUGAGGUUCCACUAAUUUAAGGCUUCCAACCCAAGCCUUCAAGCAAUACAAUCGGAUUAUGGUUCCAAUCAAACCUCUUGAAAUUUUAGUUCUAAGCACAUUUUACAAUCUUCAAGAGAUACCUCACUCUUAAACAACUCCUUAAGUGAUACCCCACACUUGAGAAUCCCUAAGUGAUACCUCACACUUAGAUUUUUCAUCUCAAAGAUUUAUAAAUGAAGAUAGGAAAUUGUUAGCCCAAGGGCUCUCCUAAUCGGGUUUUGAUGAUAAAAAAUCAUGGUUAAAUGACUAAUUGGUUUAAUGGUUAAGAAUCUCAGGCAUAAACUUGAAAAUUCAUCAAAAGACCAAAUGGAUACAAGAUCGAGACGUUUGGAAGACUUGUGAUCAUAGGAAACUAAUGUAAGAUGAAUGCAUGAGUACACUUAGGAUUUUCAUACCGUUUCAUGCAAUUUAGAAAACUCGGUUUAUUCUUUAAAACUUCAAUUUCAUUAAAACUUGAGUUUUAACAAAUGUACCUUAGGCAAAAUGUUUUAAAAUUGGCAUAAUAAUUCACCUAAAAACCUUGCUUAAGUGUUAGAAAAGAAAGGAAUUGAAAAAUAUAGGUUUUCGGGGCCAAAAGGCUCAACCGAUCGAGGCUAUGACCAACCUGCUCAACCGGUUGGGGAAUCGGUCGACCGGUUGCCCCUGUCCGGUCGAGGUUCGAUAGAGGGAUGCACAAAAUUUUCUUUCUCUCCCAGUAGCCUUCUCUUCUCGGUCGAGGUCUGGUUGAGGACCGAUCAAGGUUCGAUCGAGGCAACGGUAACCUGUCAAGCAUUAAAUGUUCCAACGGCUAGUGAACCGGUCAACCCCUAGCUCGACCAGUUGAGGUUACCUUUUGCUGUUUUUGGCUCCCGAGCUUAGAAACCUAUAAAUUGAGAGCUCCACUUUAUUUAUUGACGAGAGAACACUUGCAAUCAAUUGUCUACCUACCUGUUCUUGAUCAAAAAACUCUCAUUUCUUUCUUUGUGCAUUAAAUCAUCACUUGCAUAUCCUUUAGUGCACUCUUAUGUGUCAUCCUAGCUUUGUCUUAUAUUUGAGCUAUCCUUAAGCUAGGUUGAGGGAUUCAUUCUUGUAAAAACUGAGUGUCAAAGCCUUCAAGAGGUUUAAAUCUUGAAGAGAUUGUGUAAGAGCCCAUUGGAGCCAGAAUCCAAGUGUAAGAAGAUUGGAAGCUUGGUUGAAGCUUCAAGUUAGUGGAACCCUCACUCGGUUAAAAGAUUGAGGAGAGUGGAUGUAGGGAAGGAAGUGUCGAACCACUAUAAAACCCAAGUUUGAAUUCUCUAACUCUAUCUCUUUAUUUUGCUUAUAUUGUGCUUGAACUCGUUGUGAUUGAAAAGAAUUUAAAAAACCCAAUUCAUCUCCCUCCCCCCUUUUAGGUGUUUUUCUUAAUUAAGCAUAGCAUUUAUUUUCUCAAUUGGUAUCAGAACUAGACCUCUUGUUUUUUUUUUUUUUUUAAAAAAAAAAAUUAAUCGUCUAAGAGGAUAUGACUAUUGCAUCAAGCUCAUCUCAAGCUAAAAUUUUUUCAAAACAUAGAGCUUCAUUCUUUACGGGAUCCGACUAUCCCUAUUGGAAAACUAGAAUGACUUGGUACUUACAAUCUACUGAUUUAGAUGUAUGAGACGUCAUUGAAGAUGGCCUAACUUUUCCCACUAAACUAGUUGAUGGAGUUUUGGUUCCAAAACCCAAGCAAGAAUGGAAUGAGCUUGAUAGAAAAAACUUUCAAUUAAAUGCUAAAGUCGUUUUUACUUUGCAAUGUGCUAUGGAUAGAAAUGAAUAUAAUAGAAUAUGUCAAUGCAAAUCGGCUAAAGAAAUUUAGAGGUUGCUUGAAAUAACUCAUGAAGGAACUAAUCAAGUGAAAGAGUCAAAAAUUAAUUUACUUGUUCAUAACUAUGAAUUGUUUUCAAUGAAAAAAAAUGAUACUAUUGUUGAGAUGAUUACUAGGUUCACCGACAUUGUCAAUGGUCUUGAAGCUUUGGGAAAAACCUACAAGGAAUCCGAGAAGGUGAUGAAGAUAUUGAGGUCUUUCCCAUCAAAGUGGCAUACCAAGGUCACUGCAAUUCAAGGAGCAAAAGACUUGACUAAGCUACCUAUGGAAGAGCUCAUAGGGUCAUUAAUGACAUAUGAGAUCAAUUUGACAAAGAAGCUACAAGAGGGUAAAGACAAAAAGAAGAAGAACAUAACCCUCAAAGCUAUAACCAAGGAAGAAGAAGAUGUUGAAGAAGAAAAACCAAGUGAUGAAGAUGAUGAUUUAGCCCUCAUCACAAGAAAGCUCAACAAAUACAUGAGAGGUGAAAGGUUUAGAGGAAGAAAGUUCACCUCUAGAAGAGAUCCUUCUAAAAAGGAAUCUUCAUCCCAUGGUGACAAGGAGAAAUGAGAAGAUAAAAGAGAUUUGAUAUGCUUCAAAUGCAAAAAACUGGGACACAUUAAAUAUGAUUGUCCACUCUACAAGAGUGAAGCCAAGAGAAGAAUGAAGAAGGCAAUGAUGGCCACUUGGAGCGAAAGUGAAGAAUCCUCCGAAGAAAAAAAGGAGAAGGAAGUAACAAACAUGUGCUUCAUGGCAAUAGAUGAUCUUGAUGAGGUAAACUCUAACUUUAGUGAUGAAGAUAUGUAUGAUGUUUUUGAAGAAUUAUAUGAGGAUUUUGAAAAACUUAGUUUGAAAAAUAAUUCUCUUAAAAAUAAAAUUCAAGAACUUGAAAAAGAACUUGAAGAAGUAAAAGAAAAAGUUUCAAUUGUUGAAAUAUCUAAAACUCAUCUUGAAAAAGAAAAUAAGAUUUUGAGAAGUGAAAAUGAGAUUUUGAAAAAGAAAAAUGAAUGGUUGACCUCCUCUCUUUCAAUUUUCUCUUGUGGAAAAAAAUAUUUUGAAAUGAUCUUAGUUAGCCAAAAAUGUAUUUUUGACAAACAAGGGUUAGGAUUCAAAUCUUCAAAAAAUCAAAAGUAUUUUAAAAACUACUUUGUAAAAGAAUCCGCAAGUGUAAGUCAUUCUACCACUUGCAACUUUUGUAGAAGAGGAGGAGACAUUAGUAGUACAUGUCUCUUAAGAAAUGGUUCUCAAAAGAAUUCAAAUGCUAAAGCUAAAAAGGUUUGGGUUGAGAAAUCCAAAGUCACUAACCCUCAAGGACCCAAAAAGAUAUUGGUACCUAAAUCAACUUAAAUUUUAUUUUGUAGGGUUCAAAGAAGGAUAAGUGGUUCUUGGAUAGUGGAUGCUCAAGACACAUGACCGGGGAUGAAUCCAAGUUUGUUUUCCUUACAAAGAGAAAGGGAGGAUAGGUUACCUUUGGAGACAAUGCAAAAGGAAGGAUCAUUGGUCAAGGCAACAUUGGUAAUGACACAUCCUCUCUUAUUGAAAGUGUUUUAUUAGUGGAUGGUUUAAAACAUAAUCUUUUGAACAUAAUUUAACUUUGUGACAAAGGUUUUAAAGUGAUUUUUGAAGCAUUUCAUUGCAUUAUCAAAGAUAUUCAAAAUGAUAAAACCAUCUUCAUGGGCCAUAGAUGUGAUAAUUUUUAUGCUAUAAAUAUUUCAAAUAUGAUGGCCAUGGUAAAUGUUUUUCAAGCAUGCAUGAUCAAAGUUGGUUGUAGCAUAGGAGGUUGGGACAUGCUAACAUGGACCUCAUUUCCCAACUCAACAAAGAAGCACUUGUUAGAGGCCUUCCCAAAAGAAAUUUUCAAAAAGACAAAGUUUGUGAAGCUUGUCAAAUGAGAAAGCAAAUCAAAAACUCUUUUAAAAACAAAAAUUUCAUUUCAAUAACUAGGCCUGCAUAUGGAUUUAUUUGGUCCCUCUAGGACACCAAACCUUGGAGGAAAAUCUUAUGCAUUUGUUAUUGUGGAUGACUUCUCUAGAUACACUUGGGUCUUAUUUUUAAGUCAAAAGAAUGAAGUCUUUUUUGAGUUUUCAAAGUUUUGCAACAAGGUUCAAAAUGAAAAAGGUUUUACAAUUUCUUGUAUAAGAAGUGAUCAUGGAGGAGAGUUUGAAAAUAUUGAUUUUGAAGACUAUUGCAAUGAGCAUGGUAUUAACCACAAAUUUUUGGCUCCUAGAACUCCUCAACAAAAUGGGGUAGUUGAAAGGAAAAAUAGAACUCUUCAAGAAAUGGCUAGAACCAUGCUAAAUGAAAACAAUUUACCAAAAUACUUUUGGGCCGAAGCAAUUAACACUUCUUGUUAUGUUUUAAAUAGAAUUUUAUUGAGGCCUAUUCUUAAAAAAACUCCCUAUAAGCUUCGGAAAAACAAGAAACCCAACAUUAGCUAUUUCAAAGUCUUUGGGUGCAAAUGCUUUAUAUUAAAAACCAAAGACAAUCUUGAAAAUUUUGAUGCAAAAUCGGAUGUUGGAAUUUUUCUUGGUUACUCAACUUUAAGUAAAGCCUUUAGAGUUUUUAACAAAAGAACCAUGGUUGUUGAGGAGUCCAUCCAUGUUAUUUUUUAUGAAUCUGACAAUUCUCUCCAAGAAAGAGAGAGCUUUGAUGAUGAUUUAGGCUUGGAGACCUCCAUGGGAAAAUUACAAAUUGAAGAUAGAAGGCAACAAGAAGAAGUUGUAGAGGAUCCCAAGAAAGAAGAAUCACCUUUGGCACUACCUCCUCCUCAACAAGUGCAAAGUGAAUCAAGCUAAAACCUUCCUAAAGAUUAGAAGUUUGUCAUCAACCACCCACAAAAUCAAAUUAUAGGUAAUCCAUCUAGUGGGGUAAGAACUAGAUCAUCUCUUAGAAACAUUUGCAAUAAUCUUGCUUUUAUCUCUCAAAUUGAACCUAAAAAUAUAAAUGAUACUCUAGUUGACGAAAAUUGGAUGAUUGCUAUGCAAGAAGAGUUAAAUCAAUUUGAAAGAAGUGAAGUAUGGGAAUUAGUGCCAAGACCUCAAAAUCAAAGUGUUAUUGGAACUAGAUGGGUCUUUAGAAAUAAAAUGGAUGAAAAUGGCAUAAUUAUAAGGAAUAAAGUAAGAUUGGUAGCCCAAGGUUUUAAUCAAGAAGAAGGGAUAGAUUAUGAAGAAACCUUUGCUCUCGUAGCUAGAUUGGAAGCCAUUAGGAUGCUACUUGCCUUUGCACGUUUUAAAGACUUUCUUUUAUAUCAAAUGGAUGUGAAAAGUGCUUUCUUAAAUGGCUUUAUAAAUGAAGAGGUAUAUGUUGAACAACCACCCGGUUUUCAAAGUUUUAACUUUCCUAAUCAUGUUUUUAAACUUAAAAAUGCACUUUAUGGUUUGAAACAAGCACUUAGAGCAUGGUAUGAAAGAUUGAGUAAAUUUCUUUUGAAAAAGGGUUUUAAAAUGGGAAAAAUUGACACAACUCUUUUCAUAAAAAUAAAGAAAAUGACAUGCUCUUAGUGCAAAUAUAUGUUGAUGAUAUCAUUUUUGGAGCUACUAAUGUCUCUCUUUGUGAAGAAUUUUCUAAAUGCAUGCAUAGUGAGUUCGAAAUGAGCAUGAUGAGAAAACUUAACUUCUUCCUUGGACUUCAAAUCAAGCAACUAAAGGAAGGAACCUUCAUCAAUCAAGCAAAGUAUAUAAGAGAUCUCCUCAAAAGGUUCAAUAUGGAGGAAGCGAAAACAAUGAAGACUCCAAUGAGUUCAUCCAUCAAGCUUGACAAGGAUGAGAAAGGUAAGUCCGUUAACUCAACUAUGUAUAAAGGCAUGAUAGGUUUUUUGCUAUAUUUGACCGCUAGUAGACCUGACAUCAUGUAUAGUGUAUGCUCGUGCGCUAGAUUUCAAUCUUGUCCUAAAGAAUCUCACUUAAGUGCCGUAAAAUGAAUUCUUAGAUAUUUAAAAGAGACAAUGGACAUAGGCCUAUGGUAUCCUAAGAGUGAUAACUUUGAAUUAAUUGGAUUCUUAGAUGCCAACUUUGCCAAUUGUAAAGUUGAAAGGAAAAGCACUAGUGGCACUUGUCAUUUCCUAGGACACUCACUUGUUUCAUGGCAUAGUAAUAAGCAAAAUUCGGUAGCCUUGUCAAAGGCGGAAGCAGAAUACAUAGCAGCUGGUUUAUGUUGUGCACAAAUCCUUUGGAUGAAACAAACACUUAGUGAUUUCAAUUUGAUUUUUGAGCAUGUUCCUAUUAAACGUGAUAACAUUAGUGCCAUAAAUAUUUCAAAAAAUUUGAUGCAACACUCUAGGACUAAGCAUAUAGAGAUUAGACACCAUUUUCUUAGAAAUCAUUUACAAAAAGGUGACAUUACACUUGAAUUUGUAAGCACAAAAGAUCAACUUGCCGAUAUUUUUACAAAACCUCUAAGUGAAGAGCAAUUUUUUUAUAUUAGAAGACAACUAGGGGUGAUUUCUUUAUAAUCAAAUGAUUACUUGAUGAAUUCUUGAUUGAAUAUACCUUAUGAUUGCGUGAAUUUCACAUCAUAUGCAUCAUAUAGAAAUAAUCUUAGGAAAAAGGUCAAAUUUUGACCAAAAAUCAAAAUUCCCUUGGCAUUGGAUAUCAAAAAUUGGGGAUUUCAACUGAAAAGGGCAAGGGAAGGAUCACGAGACAAGCAAAAGCCAAAAAAUUAGAGCGUUGACCAUUGACCAUUGACCAUUGACCAAGCGGUUCGUCGGGGCUGGGAAUUUAAAGAGACCCCCGCGCUUUAUUUUUUUCACUAUUCCCCUCAAUUCCUUGAAAACUCUUCACAUACCUGCUUCCAGAGACCACUUUGGGUUGAAUCUUGGACCAUUUGAAGGGCUUGGAGUUGUUUUUGGGACGUUUUUAAGACUAGGGUUUCAAUCUGAAACCUAAGGUUUCCAUUUUUAGGAGCAAUUCCUCUCAGACCACGUGCAUCAGCCAGGCUCAACUCCUUCUCCUUGCGCUUAGGGCUUCCGGUUGGAUUUCAUUCUCUCUUGUUUGGUUUCAUUCUCUCUUCAAACUUCUUUUUCUUCAUUUUCCGUUCUUUGGAUGGCGCCUAGGAGAGAGACAACUACCUCUAGGGCUCAGGGCAAGCGCCCUGCUGAGCCAUCUCAACCUGAGCAGAUGGAGGCUCACCGAAAGGCGAGGUAUGACACGACCCUCUGUGGACCCGCAUUUUUCACGUGCGUCCCCACUCGAUCGGCGAGACUCGCUUUUUAUUUGUGAAAAAUUGAUCUUUAAAAAAAAAAAAGUUGGAGUCGCCACCUAUUUUAUUUUUAUUUUGAAGGGAAAAUAAAACAAGAAAGAAAAACCCUAAAAAGUGACUCCAUGGUUUUGGAAAAAGCAUGUCUUUGAGAAACCCGAGUCUAAGUCCGGGGAUCAGGUUACUUAUUGGGAAGGUACCUCUAGGAGGUAGCACCCCUCUAAGCCCUAAAAAGGUCUCUACUGACUAAGUUAAGGGAAGCGUGGCAAUUAAAUGGUUGAUCAUGGAUACCUAAGUAGGCUAGGUGAUUCCAAAAACAUAACAUAUCAAACAAGAUCAAAUCACAAUUAAGGAGAGUUAAAAAUGCGUACCUGGACGGCUUCCCAAACGCUAUCAUAAAACAUAAGAGAUUAGUUUGGAGAUACAUCACACAACAUUUGUUUUACUCAAGCAAAUCAGGCAUAUAUCAAGACAUUCAAGAAUCACGUCAAAUAUGGAUAUGGUCAUCAAUGACAUACAAGUCCAUAGAAUUCUCGAAAAAAGGAUGAAAAUGAGCGUACCUGGAUAGCAAGCUAGAGCGCCUUUAUGGGAAACAAGGUUAACCCAAUAACAAAUUCAAGCAUAUCUCCAAGAAGAAUCAAAAUCAAUUGAAUACCAAAAAAUCAUCUUUAAAAUCAAUAUUAGUGAAGAUAUUAGGAAUGUAGGACCCCCCACCAAAGUCCAUAUUACUUUUGCACGAAUUGAUUCAAUGAAUUCCAUUAUUUGGAAUCGUGAAGCUUAUUCAUGCUUGUCAAAAAUCGAGAAAAUCAUAAAAUAGUUGAAGAUGAUGAAAAUGCAUGCCGGAAGGGAAAAUGGCAGCAAAUAGUAUGUUAAAAUUUGGAUUUUAUGCCUAGAGACUUCUCAGGAAUUUUAAAUAAAACUAGAAUUAUUUUUUACGGGAAAAGAUUUUGAAAUCCAGAUUUAAAAUGUGUAAGAUAACAAAAAGAAUAAGGAGAAACAUUAGGAGUAUGGUGUGUGGCAAGGUGACCACUAUAUGAGUGAGGUCUGGAGGUGCACUUGAGACUAAAUGGUUGAAACAGAUUGCAUAGGGAGCAUUCUGUACACCACUAGUUGUCUAGAAAGAAACUGAAUGUGUUCGUUUCCGAGCCCAUGUUCACCGGAGUUUAGGGUGCCACCUCAUUUAAAAAAAAGGGCUUCAAUACAACUCUAGUUUCUCAAGAUCACAAUCUGAAUUAUCAACAGAAGCUUCUGGUGAAGACAUAAUGCUCAAUUUCAGAUUAAAUUUCCUGUUCUAUAACUCGUUUUCUCUGAAUUUUCCUUUAAUGUCUGUGCUUUCUGAUCAUAUAAGUUGCCCGUCUGGUUCCUUGUUUGAGACUCUGCCGAACCUGGAAUAAUGCUUCUAGGUCUAGCUGAGGGGACCUACACCCCUUUUCAUGGAACCUGAGGCAUGCGUUAAUUCGAAACUCUAUUACUUUGCCUUCCAUUGCUUUAAGUCUUUUAGCCAUCUCAGCCACAAAUCUGGAGAUUCAUUUAUCUUUCUUUAAUAUUCAAGCCAAAUGUCAAUCCAGUCCGCUUAAACCCCGAUUUGAAUGAUUUUGAACCCUCUUUUUGCGCUCUUGAUGUUUUUCAUUUCAACUACAAUGACAAACCACCCUUCGAAAAAAGAAGAAAUCUGGACCAAAUCCUAAACUUUUAAUUCACAACUUCUUGAGCCUGACUCUGAGUCGACACAAUUGAAUCACCUUGGAUAAGAGUGCUUCUAAAAAUCCUCCAGAAUGUAGGCACAAGUGCAGCGUUCGUUAAUAAUGUCCAUGGCAUGUCACAAAGGAAAGCUUCUUUUUUUAUAAUCAUCAACGCAAAUUGACUCUUAAUGGACCCCAUUGCCAGCGUCACAUCAAAGACUGGACAGAUAGGGAGAUUCACAAUUUCGAUAGCUAUCUUUGCAUUAUUUGGGCAGGGCAACCAUGUUAUGGAUAUAUAGCUCGAAGGUGACUUGCGUUUUGUUCUGUAUCAUCAGUAGCAGCCUCAAACCCGCCAUAGGUUUGAGUGGUAUUAAAAGACUCAACAUGAUCAGCUGUAGGUGAUCGAGCAGCCAAUUCAUCAUUGAGCAAAUCAAUAAAAGCUUGGAUAUCGUUGCCGAGUGGCCUAAAAUCAUUAGAUAAAUCAUUAAAGUCAUUAAGUAUAUUACUGAUCUCCAUGAAAACCCUCCUCCUUGCUUCUGUAGAGCGAACACAAGCUGCCACUAAAAUUGGUUAGCCCGGAUUGCUAAUUUAUGCAUCCAAUCACCAUCGAUUUCUCUUGUCCUUUUUGGAACUUCUGGAAUAUGGAUGAAACCUGUGAAGAAUGUGGUGGAAUUGCGGUCUGCAAGCACGAAGUUUCCAGUUACUUGAAAUGCUUCGAAAUCAUGGUUCCAGUUUACAUCUACAGGCAUUGGCUCAAGUAAGUUCGUAUCAGCUUGGGUGGCUUUCGAUUCCAAAAGCUCUAACAACAACAUGAUUCUCAAAUAUCCGAACAGCAAUGUCCAAAAUUGAAUCAAGAAAAUUCUUUAGCAGCAGUAUGUGUUGUCCCUGCUGGAGCCAUCACAGGAGCAACUAAGCUAACUGCCAAAAAGGUUCUAGCCAGUGAGAUCCCAUUCUGACGUUUCGGUUUUGGUGACUGAUAGCUUUCUAAUUGUCCCUGCAAAUAAUGUAAACCAAUAGUUCCAUUGAAUGGAUUGUCAUCCAGAGCAAGGAUCCGAAUACUUGUAAGGCCAUCAACGAAAUCAGCGAGGGUGGUGUCGACUUCGUUGUAAUCGAAGAAGGCGAGUUGCAAUUCAGACAAUCUGCGAGAAGAAGGCAAUUUUCCAUUGAAGUGGUUCAUCUGAAACCCCAAAUUGCAGAGCAUUGAAAGCUGGUUGAAGUUUUGAGGGAGAGGUCCCUUUAAUCCCAAUCCCUUAACUUGAAUCUGUGUAACUCUGUCACCACUAUAAAAUACACGAGGCCACAAAUUUGACUCCACCCGUUGGCUCCUUUCCUUCAUUCAUUCGCUUUAACAAGUCACAUUUAAUUCCAAAGAAUAUUAUAUAAUCUUCAAGUAUGUUCAAAUCAGAGGGCUCUAGUCCGUUAACCUUUACACUCUCUAGCAGGUUCUGUUCUUGUCUCUUCCUAUUAUACAGAAGUUCAAGCAAGUUUCAUAAAGCCUGAAUUUCUACACGUAGCCACUACUGGGGUCAGGUUUAUCCAAGUGUGCUGCUCCAACAGAAUUAUCGAUGUGUCAGUUUCUCUAAAAAUCACCUUGUGAAUCAAUCCACAAUACCGAGGCAUCCCAUCAUCAGAACUUCCUAAGCUUUCAGCAAGUAGGCAAGCAUUUAUGCUUGAGUCAACUCUACCGAUGACAACAAACCCAUCCAAAUCAAACUUCAUAGCUGUUUCUUCUUUUCCAUUAAUAUCAACUGGUAUCCUUUCUAAAAGAAUGCUUUUCUUAUGACGACAUGACAGUAAAACCCUUUUGCGAGAAUGGCUCAGAGUUUUGAUCAUCAUCUGAUUCUAUUGUAUUACUGGAAUGAUUGCUUUGGUAAAUGGAAUUCAACAGAAUCCACACAUUCAUGACUCUAAAAUUCAGCUUACUAGCAACCAGAUGGAACACACAUUUUCUGGUUCAGGCAUUCGUUUCUGGUCAGAUUCAUGGUAUCUUAGCGGUGCAACAGACGAUGCAGCAACCUCUUCUAGAGUGCCUUUUAUGAGCCUCAAGAGCAAAGGCCAAUGAUAGAUGAAGCGGUCCCUCUGCACUACUUGGGCUUCUGAUUCAGAAGUUAUCAUGAAGCCAACGAACAAGCAGAGUGAACGCAUUUGCAGUCAACCUUAAAAUUUCUAAUAUUGUCAGCAGGCCUGAUGGUAAAAAAACGAAAGUAGGGGAGCCUUAUUCAAGAGGAUCAUUGCGAACACUGUCACGUGUUAUUGGUGAGCUUGUUGGCAUCUUGUUUUGGGCAGAAUAAUGAGAUCCUUCAGUUAAUUAGAGAUCCAUAUCAACUAAACACCAGAAUCAUGGAUUUCCCAUGCUUUCUACUGGACAACGAUUGUCAGUUCUUUCUCUUGUUCACUUCUACUGGCAGUGGCUUGACUCUCCAACAAAACCCCUGAUGCACCCUGUAGCUCCUCAUUUAAUUCUGGAUUCUUAUCAGCAUCGCUUUCUUCUCCCUUUUGAGACUCUUGGAGUAUGAAAAAGAAAACUUGUGAAGAAUAAGGUGGAAUAUCCCAGCAAUGCAGUAUGGUAGGACCCAUUUGAGGGGGAACCCUGCAUUCAUCACUCUCACCUCCAGUAGCAUUAGAUGCUUGCUGGACCCAAUUCAGCCAGUCUCUGCAUAUUGACUCUCAAUAUAAACGUUUAGAAAUAACAAUGACUUCAUUUCUACUGCCUUGUUUAGACCUUCCUUGAUCAAUGUCUACCUUCAUUUCUCACAAAUUCUGGUUCUACUAUUAAAGUUCUGCCCCCAGUCCGUUUUGCAAAGCAUAAGCUAAUUUUAUAUUUGUAUAAUUCCAUCUUAACACACAAGUCCGUCGUAGCCUUUCCUGAGAAGUUAGAGAAGUUGCUUUUCUGAUAUAAAAAAGCCUUUCAGAACCAUGCUGAAGCUCUGAAUGUUGAUAGUUUUCCAUUGCAACUGAUAUGAGCUCCUCAUCGGUAGUGUCACAAGAAUGAUUCCAUGAGAAGUUUCUUGUUGCAUCACCUUUUUUAUGUAUUCCAACCCCAACUGUUGAGUUUCUUGAAAUUGAAACUACGGAACUUAGUUAUUUUGAAUUGUUUGCAUCUGUAGUGAUAAAUCACUGGAAGAGACAAUCAUAAUUUAGGCACUUGAUUUCCGUUUCGGUCGAACUAACAGCUUCGUAACUGUUAAUCUCAAGGUCAGAUUCAUGCUCUUGUUUCUCAAUUUCCUCUUCCCAUGAGAAUUUUUUUCAUAACAAUCGAAUGAAUUCUUAUAACUCCCAAAAGUUUCUAGCUUUUGCUGAUCAUGGAGGUGCCUCACAAUACUUGUCAUUAUACUCACUUUGGAAUUUUUCUGGUCCAUGUUCACUUUGAAUGAAUGUAUCCCUAAAGGGGGUAUUCAAUGACUGCCCAUAAUGAGUUACAAGUUCCCCAAAAUAGAAUAUAAUGAUCGUCGGCCUUACAGUACUGCUGUUUUAAAAUUUUCUGCUCGCUGAACAGUCAUAGUUCAAACCAUCAAUAUCAAAAGGCUUUCCCAGGCACUCAUCUUCAGAACCAUAAGGCCAGCAAGUCUGCAACCGUUUGAGUUGGGUAAAAAAGAAAGUCCUAAGCAGUGGAAGUGCACAGCAUGAUGCUGUCAAGUUUCAAUAACUUAAAUAUUGGCCAACUUAAGCCAGACCAUAUUCCUCAAAAAUCCAUUCUUCCUCUGCUCAUGUAAACUUGUAAUGCUGUCAGAAAUCCUGUCUUCAGAAUAGCAACCCUGACAAUUGAGUAUGGAAAGCAGAAUACCCAUGUGCUUCCAACUAAGCUUUUUACAACCAUCCUCAUAAACUGAGGCGUGCCAUUCUAAAGAAAAGGCAGAGUCUUUUAGAAAUCACAAUACUUCUGAAGCAGCUUGAAUUAGCAUAUUGCAGUAAUUGGAAGUCGGAUUGACUGAAACAGGGGCUCGAACGCAUCCAUCUGUAAAUCUUACAGACCGACCACCCUCAGAGAAAAGGUCUCCAAAAAAAAGGCUUCAGCUUCAUGACAAACAGCAUUCUCUGUUUCAGAGUUGCAACUGCCCCUGUUAUACUACUCCUGUGCACUUCAGCAUUUAUUCUUUAGUUAUACCGUCCCUUUAGAUAGCAUCUAUCCCACACCGUGAAGCAAGCAAGGUUCACUAUAAUAGGAUCUAGUAGCAGCAACAAACGGGUGAUCCUGGAGAUAUUUUAAACUCAACUUCAUCAACAUCUUCAGCGUGCACUUCUGUUGGAACACAAGCGAUAGUAGCAGUGAAAAAAAAAGUGUUGUACUGAUCCCGUUAGGAUUGCAGCCCAGAAUACCACGAACAGAGAGCCCCAAAAAUUGAAGCAACUCUGCAUCCAACUAAAUCACAUCUAGAACCCGGUUUAACGACUUUCUUGUCUUGAAGAGGAAAUACCCAAUCUGACUCAACAAUCUGUUAUCAUGUGCCAAACCCCACAAACAGCCCACAUUCUACGCAGCCUUUAUAAAGUCUCUACCUUUCAUGAAAUACUCAUGCCAUCAUUGUCUCCAUAGCCCAGAACACCAAAGUAAAGAAGAGGAAGAAGCGUAGAUAUAGAAGCACAAAAAAAGAAACCGAACAAAGAAAGAAAAAAAAAAAAAAAAAACGAAAACAGGGGAAUGGAAGGCAAUGGGUGGGAAAUCUGAAUAAGUCACAUUUCAUUAUUUUCAAAAGGGCUUUGAAGAAUCUGAACACAUUAGGACAAGCUUAGUUAAAAUUAUAUCAGGAUUCCACAAACAUUAAAAUUCAAACAUAAGUCUCUGUUUCAGCUAUUUAUAAAAAGAAUCAAAGAAAUCAAGAACACAAUCAUAAUAGAGCAAGUUUGAAGGAAAUUUCGAUUCAACAACGCAAAUAAAUGGCCCUCAAUGUCCACUCCAAUCAGCAAGAACAACUUCCCGAAAACAGCCAGAGAAUCUCAAGUGAAUGUAAACGGGAAUACCAAAAUAAUAAAAAAAAUAACAGGAAGCGUACCUGGCAGAACCUUGGCUGCAAUCUCCCUCUCUUUCUGCUCUUCUCUCCGCACUUUUUCUUCAAGAUCUCUCUUUUUCUCCUUUUUCUCCUUUCUUUCUUUUCUUUCCUUCUUCCUUUUCUUUCCUUCUCCCUCUCAAGCCCAAAAAUCCUAUCUCUCCCUCCGGAUCUCUCCAAAAAAAAAUCCCCAUGCGUGCUGCCAGUCCCACUUUUCAAAAAGAAAACAUCUUGCUGAAAAGGAAAAUCCUACUUCCUUUUCUCCUUUCUUUCCUUUCUUUCUUUUCUUUCCUUCUUCCUUUUCUUUCCUUCUUGUAGCCGAUCCCCACAUGGAAGAAGUAUAUGUGCUGUCCCUCUAAAAAUCAAAAUCUCCUCUUUUCAAAAUUCCGUUGAUUUUCCUUCCAAAUAAAUGGCGGUUCGUUUCCUCAUGCCCAAAAAAUAAAUAAAAUAAAAAAAUAAAAAUAAAAAAAAUAAAAAAUAAAAAAUUAAAAAAAUUAAAAACAAAAAUAAAAAAAAAUCAAUCACAUGCAAGCCAUACGAGCUAUGUAACCACCAAAGGAAUAUGAGUUAUGCAACCAUGCAAAAACACGAGCCAUGCAACCAUGCAAACCAUGCAAAAACAUCUAAAGGUGACCUAGGGUGUGUCCUAGUGCGCUAGGGCAAACGAAAUGGACUAAGUGUGCUUAAAAGCUAUCCUAAAAAAAAGAAAAGCCUACGACUAAGUUAGGGCUGCCAAGGGUCACAAUAAGGGAUCAAAUAAUCCCUCAACCAAAAUCUCCGAGGUGACUCAGAAAAAGGUUAGUGGUAUGAGUAGCCAUGGGCCACCAAGGAACUAUGGGGCACUGAAAACGAAUUUAAAGACAUGUGCUAAAGGGACAAAAUUGAGGGUCUACACCCUCUUCAGUUCUGUUGAAGAUUAUCAAAGAUACAAGCAAAAAUUCUCCCAGAGGAAACUAGGGAGAAAUAUCAAUUUCUCCCAACUUUAGUACUUCGGGUUUGAGGGACUCUUUAGUCGGAUGGGAUAACUGCCAGUUGUGAUGAUUUUCGAGCCGAUCUUCCUGACUCUGGUGCGGGCAUUUUAUUCAUAGGUGACUUAUGGACUUGGAGGACCAGUCAUGUCCACUAUUAGAGGUGUUGAGAUCAGACUGAGCCCGGAGAGCAUUUUCCGCAUUCUCGACAUUCCUUUAGUUGGACUCCGGGUGUAUGAGUCCAAGGUUUGGCCCACUGUGCCGGGAUUCGAGCCUAGAGAGGCUAUUCAGAGGCUGUGCGGACUUGUAGAUGCUGAGGGGAUGGACAAACCAUCGGCACAUAGCCUGACCGUGACCAGCCAAGUCCUUCAUCACAUGAUUUGCUCCUAUUGCCACAAGGCGGGUAUCGAGAUGAGAUUUCCUACCUGGAUGCUUUCAUAGUGGACACCAUUCUAAUGGGGAGAUGGAUUCAUGUAGGGUAUUUGAUGAUGAUGCAUAUGAUAUCCUACUAUGAGAGCACGACCCGAGUACUCCCCUACAGACGCUUCCUCACUCGAGUAUUCAAGGAUGUCGGGGUCGAUUUGAGUAGAGAGACGAACUUCGAGGCCCUUACUAGCUAUGAUACUUACGAUGAGCAGUCCUUGGAGCGGAUAAAGUUUGAGAAGGCCCUCGAUGGCUCCUGGAUUAGGAGAGUUGAGCGAGCUCCAGCAUAGGCCCGGGGACAAGGAUAGAUGCAUCCCGGAGUAGAGGAGGAGGCUGAGAUCAAAGAGAUGGAGGAUGGGUUAGACCCAAGGAUUGAAAUAUCGAUAAAUAUGGAUAUAUCGGUACUUGGAUUUUACGGAUAUAUCGGAAAUAUCGGAGAAAUAUCAAUGGAUAUUUUUCAUCAAAUAUCGGUGAGACAAAAAUUAUCCAAAAUUGAUGGGAAUGCUUAGAAAAAUCCAAAGAAUGAUAAAAUAAGCAAGAAUAUACAUGUUAAAGUUAUUUUAUGAGUGUAAUUGACAUAAAUAUGGUAUAAAAAAAAUAUAUAUCGGUAAACAGUUUACGAUACUUGGAUUUUAAGAAAAGAAAAUAUGAAAUUUGGAAUUGUACACUUAAAAAGUUAGAAUUGAGUUAAGAAAUAUUUGAUUUUAUUAAAUGAAAAAAAUUUACACAUAAACAUAAUACAUAUGACAUUGCAAUGGUCCUUAAUACCAAAAUGAAGAUCGAUGUGGUUCCAUCAUAUUGUUAUUGUUAGAUGAAGGGAGCCCAUCUUGUUGAAGACAAUAUUCAUACCAGGACAUGGAGUUUCGAUAGUAUUGAUUGUAUGUACUAACAUGCCAUGCAUAAAUUUCUUGAGUCCUACCGACAACCUGUCCAUGGAUGGGAAAUCCAGGGUUUUCCCAUGUGCUCGUUUGAAAUCCUUGUUGUUGCAGCUGAUGUAGAAGGUAGUAUGGAAUUUGUGUGGAAGAAUGAUAGUUAUACCUUUCAUACUCUUCAUCAGUGGAACUUGAAAGAUUUUGAGGAGGCUGACCAUAACUCAUUGCAUAAGGGGCAUAAAUGUUGGCUUCAUUUGAUGAAUCACUUAAUUGAGUCUCUACACUCAUCGACUCAAAACUGGCCGACAAUGAGUCCUCGUUGUAUGGCAUCAUCCUUCGUUGUCUUCCUCUAUAUGGCUUUCCAAUGGCUCCAACACCUGGACCGGCUCUUCUAGAGCCGUGGUCUUCAUCUUGAGUACAAUGUGUGAAAUCAUCUUCACUAAUAAAUGCCAAUGGUUGUCCACUUUGUUGAUGUUGUCUAACAUCCCCUUCAUCAUUUUCAGGGUCGCUACCAUCAUUGGUCCCCUCUCCUCUUGAAUCAUCAUAACCGGAAGCGGAAGUACCAGUAGCACUAGGUCUACUACUAUGUUCAACACUCGUGGGGUCAAAAGAAGGUCGAGAAGUGACUACCAGCUGAGAAAUUCCUUGUCGAAAUGAAUCUUUCGUGUCUUGGUUGAAACUAUCAAUAUGAACUUCUUCGGAUAACACUUGAUCAACAUCAACACCUGCUUCUCGGACAUGUGCGGCAAUUCGUGGGUCGAGAUUUCCAUCUUCAUCAUCUAAAUGAAGAGGUCUAACCCAUUGAAACAAUUGGUUAUCUUCUUCUUCACCAGCCUCAGUUGCAAUAUCAAGUAAAUCAAGGUAAUCUUUCUCUGAAACUUUGUCAUGUUCUGCUUCCAUGUCACGUAUCUUUAGUUUCAUGUUAUAAUAAUAGAAAACUAAUUGUUAGAGCAUCGGGUAAGCAAGCUGAUUUCUUUGUUUUGUAUGAAUUAUGGAAAACAUGCUCCAAUUUCUCUCACAAGCUGAAGAUGAUGCAGUUUGCGAUAAAACCUUGAUGACCAACCUUCUUAAUGUAGGAGUGUGAUUUCCAUACAUGAACCACCAUUCAACUACAACCAAAUAAAUGAUAUCAAUACUUAUAUUGGAAAGCUAUAAUAAUAUGCUAAUGAAAUGAAUUAUUAAUUCACAAAUAAUACUCACCGAGAACCAUUUCUAACCUCGAAGCAAUCACUGUUUGAUCACCGAAUCCUCUUUUUGCAUCUCGGAAUAGUAUAAUCUACAUAUUAAAUAAUUGAAAGUGAAAAAGUUGAGUAAAUGAAAUUAAAUUAUUUAAUUUAUAUUAUAACUCUAAUAAUUUACCUCAUUUCCAAAUUGACUAAAACCUUCUGAUGUAGGAUCUAAUUUCGCAAAGACUUCAUGGACAACUUGAAGUAGAUCAGGAUCAGUACCAACUCCAUGUUUAUAUUGAAAUCUUGGAUUAAGAAAGAAUGCUACAAUAGUAAAAUAGAAAUGUAAAAUUAGAAUGUUAUGAAAGAAACAUAUUAAAUACCAAUAAAUUUCAAAGAUGAAUAAUACUUACCUGCUGCAUGAAAAGGAUGUUUAAAAGUUCUAUCCCAACGAUAUGCAAUUAUUUCUAACACCCAUUCUUUAGCAUUAAGUCGAAUAAGGUUCUCUUUCAUAACUCGAAUCAAUUCGUACACAAAUGGCAUUGUAGGAACAACUUCUGAAUCGACAAUGCGAAGAACUGUGUAUAGCGCCUCAUAUAUUGACACUAGCUUUCCCACUCUUUCCUAGUAUGCAUGGUCAAACAUAAGUGAUUCAACUUCUUUGCCGAUUAAUGUGCAACUUAAGUUGUGUUGUGCCCAUUCAUCACUGAUAAAUAUUUUCUUCAAGUUUAUUUUCUUUUUCAAAAGACUGUCGAAGGCUAUAUAAUUGGUUGCAAAUCUUGUUGCUCCAGGACGAACUAUGUCUCCACCACACACCUUCCGCAUCUGGGUAAGCAACCAACCAUGGUUAUAAAUGAAGUUGGUUAUCUUUCGAGCCUUUGUAAUCACAUCUGCAACACUCGUCCUUUUACCGAUAUCUUCGAACAUUAAGUCGAUGCAAUGUGCUGCACAUGGAGUCCAAUAAAGAUUGUAUUUCUUCAUUAACAACUUCCCCGCCUUCAUGAAUGCCGACCCAUUAUCUGUAACUAUUUGGACCACAUUUUGUUUGCCAAAUUCCUUGAUCACAUCCUUCAACAAACCAUAUAUGUAUUUGUUGUCCUUUAUAUUAUUUGAUACAUCAACAUAUUUGAGGAAGAUUGUGCUACCUUUUGAAUAUACCAUGAAAUUAAUUAUGCUUAAUUUCGUGGGCCCAGUCCAUCCGUCAGACAUAAUCGUGCAUCCAUAAGUCUUCCACUUUUCUCUUUGAAUAUUGACAUAAGCUUCUAUGUCUUUGUACUCCAUAUCCAAAUACUCGUGUUUGAUUUCAUAAGGAGACGGUGGUUUUAUACCCAUACCUACCAUCCAUAUAUAAUUAAAGCAUAUAAGAACAUUUGUGGCAAUCAUACUAUAUAAAUAGUAAUGAUAUUGUUAAAAUGAAUACAACUUUUAAAAUUAUAGUAAUUACCUGCUUGUUGUGCACCAACAAUCAUGUUCUUGAAGUGGUGAGAGUCUGUUUUACUGGGCGGAACACUCUCAUAUAUGAAGAACUUACUGAUCAAACGUCCCAUGGUUUCCUUGAUGGCACCACCUUUGAAAAUAUUUUUCAUAUUUUUAUGUCUUGCUACUGAAGAUUUGUACAAUGAGGGUGCAUCAGGCAGUGAUGGAUCUAAAUAUCGAACACUUUGCGAUUUUCGCAUUUGCCUUGUUGUUGGAUUGGUUGGAUGUGAAGACUUGCCUAUUAUAAUUAUUAAAAUUAAACAUAUAUGCUAAUUUAAUAUUAUUGAUAAAGUUGAUAAGAAAUAGUAAUAAUUCAAAUUAAUAUUAUACCUGUUUUUAUUUUGUCUUUUAUAAAAUGUUCUUCUUAUUGUCGAUUCCAUUCAGCAGCUUUUGAUGCUCGAACCGCCUCUCUAUAAGCAUGUCGCUCACCAAGGUGCAUGUCAGCCAGAUACAUAUACACAUCAUCAUCUCCAUCAUCAUCAUCACCACCAAGGUUCUCCUCAUCGUCCUCAUCAGUUACAUGCUUAUGUCUUAUUCCCAUUGUGUCUCGCAGUUCAGAUCGAAUCUCUUCUAUAUCUGUAGCUUUCUUCGCUUUUGCCUUAUUUUUUUGCUCUAGAAGUCGUCUUAUUUAUUGUUUCACUUCUGGAGGCAUGUUAGGACACUUUUUUGUAUUUGAAUUAGGGUCUGUAUGUGAUAGGUGAAAUUUAAAACGAGUAAUCCCACCACUCUUUAUUGCCAACCCACAGUAAUUGCAUACUGUUCCAUUUUUGUCCCCUUCCAUAGGUGUACAAUAUUUCCAACAAGGAUCUCGACCCAUGAUACCGCUUUCACUAGCCAUUUUCUAAAAUUGAAUUAUGAAACUAAUAUCAAAUUUAAAAUUAUUAAAGAUAAAACAUGUAAGAAAUUUAAUAUUCAUGAAAUUGAUAAGAACUAAUAAAAAUUGAAAUUAAAAUUAAAUUAUGCAUAUAUGAAAUAGAUAAACAUUACAAUAAAAUUUCAAUAUGAAUUAAAUUUAAAUUAAAUUAAAUUAAAUUUGUAUAUUCAUGAAAUUGAUAAGAAUCAUUACUAAUAAAAAUUAAAAUUAAAAUUGAAUUAUGCAUAUAUGAAAUAGAUAAACAUUACAAUAAAAUUUCAAUAUGAAUUAAAUUAAAUUAAAUUUGCAUAUUCAUGAAAUUGAUAAGAAUCAUUACUAAUAAAAAUUAAAAUUAAAAUUGAAUUAUGCAUAUAUUAAAUAGAUAAACAUUACAAUAAAAUUUCAAUAUGAAUUAAAUUUAAAUUAAAUUAAAUUAAAUUAAAUUUGCAUAUUCAUGAAAUUGAUAAGAAUCAUUACUAAUAAAAAUUAAAAUUAAAAUUGAAUUAUGCAUAUAUGAAAUAGAUAGACAUUACAAUAAAAUUUUGAUAAGAAUUAAAUUAAAUUAAAUUUGCAUAUUCAUGAAAUUGAUAAGAAUCAUUACUAAUAAAAAUUAAAAUUGAAUUAUGCAUAUAUGAAAUAGAUAAACAUUACAAUUACAUUUCCAUAUGAAUUAGAUAAUAUCAAUUAAACUAUUGUAGACCCCCCUCUUUUGGUCUCGUUUCUUUUUUUUUCCUCUACAUAUAUUAUGUUUGUUUUAGCCAUUGCGGAAGCACCUGGAAGAGGUGUUAGUGCCUUGAACAAGUGGGGGGACCUGGCUGUUUGGAGAGAUGAGCUGCGUGGAACACGUGGUGGAGCAGUUGGCCACAGCCAUGGUGGUGGUUGGGGCUCCAGUUUGCUGAGCAGAGGAACAGUAUAGUAGCUGAUGGCUUGCAGGAAAAGCUUUGACGGAGAAGGAGGACAGAGGAUUUUUAAGAGGAUCCUUUUGAGAGUGCUGGCAGGGGGGGAUCUUGGAGGGAAAGGGAAGAGGAGAAGUAAGUUUUGAGGAGAAAGGGGCUUUCAGGUAUGGCCAUUUAUGAUUUUUCCCGAAUAUUCUGAUCUUUCAUAUCUUUCCCAUCUUACUCUCCAUGAUUCCAGUUUUGCUUGAUGAGUUGUUUUGUUUUGAUGAUUGUUGGUUUAACAUUAAAAAAGAUGGCUGUUUUUUUUGUGUUUUACCCGUGCAAACCUCUUCCAACUUAACCCUUUGAUCGUUAAGCUCAUGGAUGAAAGAAUGAAACGAAGUUAGCACAUUCAUCAAAAGGUUCCCUGCUAUGUUUCUCCAUUUGUUCCCUUUGCUUGAGUAUGUGAGUAUUGAUGCUAAUAGUAGCAAGGUCCCAGCCAACUUUGUACAAUAGAGCUCAGAUGUUGCUCUAGGGGUUCAUGAUCAUCCUGUCAAGUGCCUAGGAGCAAAUGAUGCCCUUGAGCUUACGUUUCUAAGUCGUGUUCUCCCUACCAAGCUGGAUACCCUCCUUGCUAAGGACGGGGGGACGAAACCUAUUAACAGCCGAAACCCAAUGAUAAGAUCCAAGUCACUGUCGAGUAUCUCAAUGAGAAGGAUGCCAUGGUUCUUUCUUCGUGUACAUGUUGUUCCCAUCUCCACCCAAGUUGACUAAACUGUCAUCAGUGAUGAGAUUGCUGCCUACACUAAAUAAUACAUCAUCCAGCCGGUUAUUCAUGAGAAACAUUAAGAUGAGAAGUCCACCUUCCAACACCCAUUAAGCCACUCUUCACACCCAUCUUCUCUCAUUAACAUCCUCAUACCCCUCCCACCACUUCGUGAUUCAUAUCCCCAUCAUCCCCAGCCGUCCAUGCUAUCAAUAAUAUCCCCACUUAUCUUCAUACCCAUUUGUUCCACUAUUCGGAAUCCCCAUGCAUGCGAAACUGGACGCGGAAGCCAUGAUAGCAGAGAUUGUGAUGAAGAACGUGGAAUGCGGUACCCUGUUGCAUGAAGUGAGCAUGGUGGAGCGGCGGUUUGAGGAGUCGACGAGGAAGAUAGAGCUGUAGAAGAGCUUGCUGGAGGUGUUGGAGUUGGAGAGGACGAUAUUGCUGAAUGAUAACGUGCGGCUGGGGCGCGAGAUGAGUGCGCUGAUUGAGGAGAACAAGGGGCUGUGGAGGUCCCGGCUCCUGCUCCGACGCUGGAGGCGCUGAGUCCUCCAGCACCGCCGGCCGAAGCUCCUAGGCCACAGCUAGAUGCGAUCCCAUCCAUCUCCAUCUCUGCCAGGUGAGAGUAGGGCAGAGAAGAUCACGUGCGUGAGGUAGAGGGUAGAAAUGGAUAAAGGGCAUAGAAAAUGGGCUACAGCAAUGCAUGGAAUUGUUUGAUAAAAGAAAAGAGAAAUGGGUUUGUUGACACGUGAAAGAACUAUGCACUUUAAAAAAACUCUCCCUGUUUGUUUUACAUAUUCUCAAACAAUGCUUAAAAAUCCCUUAAAAUUUUAAAGUUAAAAAUUUAUUCACUUAUUCAUGUUUUUCUAUUCACUUCAAAUUCUCGAAACUCAAUCCUAAAAUUUAAUUUCUUCAAAGUUCAAUCUCCAAAAUAACUUUUUUUUUAGGUUCUAAUUUUAACUUUAAUUCUCCAAAGAUCCAAAAUUUUAAAUUUAACUUUCCAAAAAUCCCACAAUUCCGAAUUUAAUUUUAGGUCUUGUAAAUUAGUAUUAUUAUCCCAUAUUUAUUUAUUUAAAGUCCAAUCCUUCAAAAAUCUCAUUAUUAUUAUUAUUAUUACUUCAACUUUCGAAAUCAAUUUAUUCUUAUUAUUAUUAUCAUUAAUCCAAACUUUCAAAAUCCUAUUAUUAUUAUUAUUAACCCAACUCUCAAAAUAUUAUUAUUAUUAUUAUUAUUAUUAUCAUUAAUUCAGACUUUCGAAAUCUUAUUAUCAUUAUUAUUAAUUCAACUUGCAAAACCUUAUUAUUAUUAUUAUCAUUUCAAAACCUUAUCAUUAUUAUUAUUAUUAUGAUUAUCAUUAUUAUUAAUUUAACUUUUAAAAUAUUAUUAUUACUGUUUUUAUUAAUUCAACUUUUAAAAUCUUAUUAUUAUUAUUAUUACUAAUUCAAUUUUCAAAAUCUUAUUAUUGUUAUUAUUAUUAUUAUUGUUAAUUCAACUUUCAAAAUCUUAUUAUUAUUAUUAUUAUUAUCAUUAUUAACCUAUUAUCAUUAUUAUUAUUAUUAUUACUAUUACUAUUAUUAUUAUUAUUAUCAUUAUUAUUAAUUCAAUUCCCCAAAUCUUAUUAUUAUUAUUAUUAUUAAUUCAACUGUCAAAAUCUAUAUUCCCGUAGUUUAAUUUCUCAAAGUUCAUUUCUUAUCAUUACUGUUAUUAUUAAUUCAAUUUUCAAAAUCUAUAUUCUCGCAGUUUAAUUUCUCAAAGUUCAUUUCUUAUCAUUACUAUUAUUAUUAAUUCAGCUUUCAAAAUCCAUAUUCUCGCAGAUCAAUUUCCUAAAGUUCAUCUCUCAUUUUCUUUGACGAAUUUCAAUUUAAUUACCGAAGCUCUAAUCUUUCAAAGUUAAUUCCAAAUACUUCAAUUUUCAAAUAAAGUCUAAUAAUCCAGUUUUCACUCGAAUGGUUUUAAUCCCAUUUCAGUCCCUAAAUAAUCUUCUGGUAUUCUUGAUUUUAUAUAAGCAAUAGUGAAUUCUUCAUAAUUCUAAAACACGGAAUUUGUGAGACUGGUUCAUGAAUAAUAAAUUGGGUUUUGGUGGGAGGCACUAUGUUUGAUCCCUAUUGAUUGUCAACUGUUGUGCUUAAUGUAUUUUUGCUUGAUCUUCAUUUUGCACCCUGAUAUGCAUGAGUUAUAAUUUGUAUUCAUUAAUUAUGCACUAAUCCUGUUUCUUGAUAGCAAAUUGCUGUUUGCUACCCAGGUACGCAUUCACUCAUUCUGAUCAUUCACUAUACGUAUUCUGAUUCUCAUAUAUGCAUGAUUAAUGUGAGUAUCCAUUGACUUUCUUAUUCGAUUGCCACGUCAGUUUCACUUUAUUAGUAGAGACCCGACUUUAGGGACUUUGAGGGGUGCUAUGGUCUCUACCGUACCUUCCCGAUAAGUAACCUGACCCUCGAACCCGAUCCGGUUUUUCACAGACCACCUUUUCCAAAACAAGGAGUCGCACUUAGGGUUUUUCUUUCUUAUUUUGUUUACCCUUUAAAAAUAAAACAAAAAUAAGUGGCGACUCCAAGUCAUUUUCAAAUAAUCAAUAAAAAUCAAGUUUUCAAAUAAAAAUCGAGUUCGUCAUCGAGUGGGAAACGCAUUGAGCCGAAAUGCGGGGUCCACAACUAUAUAUAACAAAUAAAAUUGAAUUAUGCAUAAUAAAAUAAAUUUUAUGAAAGGUAAGACAUACCUUAAUUAGCUUUGACUUGGAGUUAAUCCCUUUCACCAACAAAUUUUCAAAAUAAAAAAAUUUUGCUAGAUCAUAUAAGAAUUUUGAUGUAUGAAAUGGAAUGGAAUGUGGGUAUUUAUAGGAAUUUUUUGGUCAAACUACUCGUUGGAUGGUCAAAUAGCCGUUAUAAAUUAAUUUUAACCGUUGGAUCAAAAUUUGGUUCAAAUUUCACCAUUAGAUCUUCAUAUAACCGUUGGAAACACUCCAUAGCCCUUGGAUAAAGUGAAGAUUGAUUUUCCACCAUUGGAUCACAAAUCUGACCAUUGGAGGCCUUUAUAAACACACGGGUGAAAUUUGGGCCAUCAGAUCCUCAAAAAUUCAAAUUUGGCCGUCAGAUCAAAAUCCUUGAAGCUGUAAAAAAAUCACCGAUUAAUCGCGAUUUUCUCGGCAAAAAAUCGUUGAUAUAUCGGUAAAAUAGCUGAUUUUUUGGGCUCCUCCUCCGGCUUCUUCGUGCGUGCCUCUACUCGCGAUUUUUCGUCGAUUUAUCGGUGAAGCACCGAUAUUUGGCCGAUAUAUCGGCGAUUUUGCCGAUUUUUCCGUCGAUUGAUAAUCGGUGACGAUUAUUAUUUCGGUGCCGCCCAAUAUCCGAUAUUUCUCCGAAAUAUCGAUGAUAUAUCCCGAUUUUUCAAUCCCUAGUUAGACCCUUAGAGGGAUUUUAAGUAGAGAGGGCCCGAGCUUGACAUUUCUCCUCCACCUCAUUCAGAUGGUAUUCAUGUUGAGACCACUUUCUUAGAGCCUAUGAUGAUUGAGUCGUCUUACACUACAGGAGCAUCAUCUCAGCCAUCAUUCACCGAGCUUCCUCACACAGAGAUACCAUCUCAGGCACCUCACGCUUCUGAUCAUGCCCCUUGGAUGGAUGUAUCAGCUCAUAUCAGCUUCCUUGGGACUCCUAUGGAGGAGCUUGCUUUAGUCAAUGAUACUCGAUUCUACUCUAUGGAGGAUCACAUAGAUCAGUAUCAGACUGGCUUCACUUCUCGUUUUGAGCACUUCCAGCAGAGAUUUGAGCGUAUAGAGGAGCGUAUGGAUCAACAGCAGGCUACAGUUGAGCAUCUCCAGCAAAGUAUUGAGCGCAUUGAGAGUCGCCAGGCGAGUUAGCAUGAGGAGAUGAUGGCUUACCUCCGCUCCGUGUUUCCAUCUUCACCCCCUCAGCCUUGAGUUUAUCUAGAGUUCCCCCUCAAUUUCUUUUUUAUGUUGCUAAAGGGGGAAAAAUAUCUAGGAUCUAGGAAACCCUCAUGCAUAUCAUUGUCAUAUCUAUCUUGAUUAGCAUAUAUGUUAUGUUUUCGUGUACAUGUGAGGUUACCAUAUAUAUGAUAUGCUAUUUUCAUGAUCCAUUGUUUCCUAUUCAAUUUUUCAUGCUUUACAUUGUUUCCUAUUGAAAAUUGAUUGAUUGAUCCAUGAUUGGUUUGAGGGGGAGAUUUUUUUUCUCUCCUAGAUAACCAAGGUUGGUCAUCAUAAAAAAUGGGGAGAUUGUUAGCCUAAGGGCUCUCCUAAUCGGGUUUUGAUGAUAACAAACCAUGGUUAAAUGACUAAUUGGUUUAAUGGUUAAGAAUCUCAGGCAUAAACUCGAAAAUUCAUCAAAUGACCAAAUGGAUACAAGAUCGAGACAUUUGGAAGACUUGUGAUCAUAGGAAACUAAUGUAAGAUAAAUACAUGAGUGCACUUAGGAUUUUCAUACCGUUUCAUGCAAUUUAGAAAACUCGGUUUAUUUUUUAAAACUUCGAUUUCAUUAAAACCCGAGUUUUAACAAAUGUACCUUAGGCAAAAUGUUUUAAAAUUGGCAUAAUAAUUCACCUAAAAACCUUGCCUAAGUGUUAGAAAAAAAAUGAAUUCAAAAAGAUAGGUUUUUAGGGCCAAAAGGCUCAACCGGUUGGAGAACCAGUCGACCAAUUGCCCUUCUCCGGUCGAGGAAUGCACAAAAUUUUCUCUCUCACAGUAGCCUUCUCUUCCCAGUCGAGGUUAUUCUCUUCCCGAUUGAGAACUGGUCAAGGUCCGGUCGAUGACCGGUCGAGGCAACGGUAUCCUGUCAAGCAUUAAAUGCUCCAACGGCUAGUGAACCGGUUGACCCCUAGUUCGAUCGGUCGAGGUUACCUUUUGCUGUUUUUGGCUCCCGAGCUUAGAAACCUAUAAAUUGAGAGCUCCACUUCAUUUAUUGACGAGAGAACACUUGCAACUAAUUGUCUACCUACCUGUUCUUGAUCAAAAAGCUUUCAUUUCUUUCUUAGUGCAUUAAAUCUUCAAUUGCAUAUCCUUUAGUGCACUCUUGUGUGUCAUCCUAGCUUUGUCUUAUAUUUGAGCUAUCCUUAAGCUAGGUUGAGGGAUUCAUUCUUGUAAAAAUCGAGUGUUAAAGCCUUCAAGAGGUUUAAAUCUUGAAGAGAUUGUGUAAGAGCCCAUUGGAGCCGGAAUCCAAGUGUAAGAAGAUUGGAAGCUUGGUUGAAACUUUAAGUUAGUGGAACCCUCACUCAGUUAGGAGAUUGAGGAGAGUGGACGUAGGCAAGAAAGUGCCGAACCACUAUAAAAUCCGAGUUUGAAUUCUUUAACUCUAUUUCUUUAUUUUGCUUAUAUUUUGCUUGAACUCGUUGUGAUCGAAAAGAAUUUAAAAAAUCCAAUUCACCCCCUUCCCCUCCUUUUGGGUGUUUUUCUUAAUUAAGCAUAGCCUAUAUUUUCUCAUAAAUAAUCUCACAAAAUCCUAGUACAAACUUUAGCCUCAAAUUAUACAAGAUAAACUAGGAUUGAAUGGUGCACUAAUGAUAUGUAAGUUUUAAAACAAUGUGUACUAAAAAACACUCCCCUAAGGCUCAAUUAUAUUCAAGAAAGGUUUAAGAAGGUUAAACUCUUGAAACUAUAAAGAUUGAAGCGUUUUUAUAGAAGAGAAAAGCCAAACUACCUAUUGGGGGUUCGUCUGGUCGAGCUCUGGUUCGACCAGUUCACUAGCCAUUAGCAUUUAAUGUAUGAUAGGUGACCAUUGGGCCUUGACUGGUACUCAAUUGGAUGAAGUUCAACCUUGAUUGAUCGAAUAAGCAUUAUGGAAAAGAGAUAAGGUUUUUGCACCCUUCAACUGAGUAAGUUGAAUAAGUCGACUAAUUCCUCAUUCAAUUCAACCAAUUAAGUCAUUUUUUGCUAAAAAAACCAUCAUUUUCAACUUAAAACCUUUUAAACAAGUUUGGAAAGCAUUUGACAUAAGGUUUUAGUUGAAAACAUGAAAUCAUCCAAUUUUUAAAAGAUUUAAAACAAAAUAACUCUUGAAUGAUUUUAGUGUAUAAGUAAAGAAUGUAAUGCAUGAAAAACCCCAUGCACUAACAACCUUACAAAGAGAUCCUAUGAGGCUUAGGUCUUGAAAAAACACUUAUCUUUAAGGUUUUCUUCUUCUUAUUGAUUUUAUCUUUGUGAUUGCCACUUUGGAAAUCAUCUUGCCUAGUCACACUUAAAAUAUAAUCAUUAGUUCUAAACCUUGUUUUGUUAUCAUCAAAACUAAGAUUAACCAAACCUUGGUUUCACAGUAUGAAUAUUGUAUCUUUAGAUCUAUAGUUAAUAGUGGUUUUUAUAGUCAUAUGUUUCUAUUGUGAUAAAUUUAGAGAUGCCUAGGGAUAGAUGAAUGCACCCUAUGAGAUCUAGUGCAUAUGAAUGGAGUAAUCUGGGGUUCCUAACAUAGUUUAGGCUUGUGCUUCAUAGAGCGAUAACAAUUCUUCAAGCAUAGUUAUGCUUUAGAAAUUUGUUAUUGAUUGGUCCAAUUUUUAGACCAUCUUUAGCAACAAUCUUGUGGGCACCAUUGAUAUAAACUUGUUAUACAAAAUAUGAUCUAUCACAUUUUUGGCAAGAACUUUCCACUAGUUUUGUGCAUGGUAAUGAUCAUGCAUGCAAACUUAACUAAGUUAUACACUAGAUGCCAAACUACUACAAUUCUUAUACACCUUCCCAUUUUGUGCAACCGAACAAUUCAACAUCAUAACACCAAAGUUCUUGCUUAGAUUUCCUACAGUGCUAAAAUUUUGAAAUGAUUAAUUUUUUUAUUUUCCUUUCAAUACCAAGACCCACAUACAUCAUGUCAUGCCCUAAGACCCACUCUAAGGGCAUGACAAUCAUUUCACAUCUCAAGGUAGAAAGCUCAAAGUGUAAAUUGACCUUAACAUUCAUUUUGUAACUGGAAAAUUAUCAAUUACCAAAUUCAUAUUCAAAGUAGUAGAAUAAAAUUCUAUAAGUUUCAAAUCUCAACUUUAAAGCUAACACAUCAACUAAAGUGUUAUUGUCCAAACAACUUCAAACUUAACAAUUCAAGCAAUCAUUAAAUUCUAGCUUUCAAAAAAAUAAAGUUUUAACCAAAAGUCUUAAUAUUGCCAAAAUAUCAUCCUAACGAUCACUCCUAGCCCGAAUUAAGGUGCCUAAAAAAUUGUCAAUGAAAGGAAAUGAGAUCAACGCUCAAUAAGGAAUAUUAACAAAGUUUCAUGGAUCAAACAUUUUUAAUUAUAAUUCCAAAUAGGAGAUAUAAUAUAUAAUCAUUUUCAUAAAAACUUUUGAGUUUAAAUAUAAUAAUACAUUCAAAAAUUUUUAGCUAAACAUUUUCAUAUCUAUGUCAAAACAAUUUCAUAUCAAAUUCAAAUCAAAUAUAUACAAAAUAUUUUUAUUUUGGUUAUCAAAUAUCACAUGGUGUCAAGUUAGGUGGGACUUUACAAAUUGGUGUCUAGCCUCAAAUUUUUUCAUUUCAAGGUGGAUGAAACCAAACACUACUAGUAUUAUUAACAUCUAACCAAAUGCCUAAAGGGUGGAAUCUAAAGCAAUUACAUGCCCCGCCAAGAAAUAUAAGGUCAACAAUUAUAACUAGUUAACUAAGGACAAAAAUAAACUAGAGUCAAACACCUUAUUUCAUUAAUUCAAACUUACAAAACAAAAACAUCAUAUCUCCAUAAUUUUCAUUUUUUAUAAACAAAAGAAAUGUUCUAACAUAUUUUUUUCAUGAAAAAUAUAUAUUUGAUCCAUGCAUAAAAAUAAAAAUAAUUUUUUUUAUUAUUCAAAAUAACAUAUAAAAGUAAAUAUGUUCUUUUGGCCAAAACAUGUAUUAAUUUUUCUUACCUCAAAGAAACACUCAAAGACCUUGAAGCAAUUAAUCCUGAAGAAUUUCACCCCAAAAAACAUAUUUCAUACCUUACAAAAAAAAAACAAAAAAACAAAAUUACUAUUGAUUAUUUAUCUAAUAAUAGUUUCGUAUCUCAUAUCACCUAUAUUAUUUUUAACUUCCUAAUAAAUAACAAUUUAAUAAGUGAUUUUCCAAAUUUUAAAAAGUUAUGUUCUUUCCAAAAUUUAUUCAUAAUAUUCUAUUAUUAUUAAUUAAAUCUCUCAAAAAUAUGUUUUUUCUAUUUAUUGCAUUAAACUAUUAUUAUUAUUAUUCAAUUUCAAUUUGAUUAAUUGGUUUUUUCUUUUAAAUUUUUAAUUUAUAUAAGAUUCUUGUUUUGAAAAUCUUCCAUAUUUACUUAUUUGUUUAAAGUAAAUUUCUCCAAAACUUGUUCCUUUUUGUUAAACAAAUAUCUUUUCCUAUUAUUAUUAUUAUUAUUAUCCCUAAUAUUAUAUUCAAAUAACUAAACAAUAAUAAUUUAAAUUAGUGAGUUUCCAAAUUUUUAUAAAACUCAUAUUCAUUCUAAAUCUUAUCAUAUAUAUCUAUUUCUUUUAUAUAAUUAAAUUAAAUUAAAAAUUUUACUUAAAUAUAUAUAUAUAUAUAUAUAUAUAUAUAUAUAUAUAUAUAUAUUAUAUUAUAUUAUUACUUUCAACAUCCUUCUACCACCGAAACAAUUACCUCAAGUAAAAGUCAUCUAUCCUUAUUCUACUAACUACCCUCUCUCUUGCAAUAGCACACUUAGGGAUGGCAAUGGGGCGGGUUCAGGAUAGGUCACCCCCAUCCCAACUCCACCUUGUUUAUUCAAAAUAAUUAUCAUCCUCGUCCCAUUUAAAAAAUUAAAUGAGACGGGGCGAGUAUGAUAAAUUCUCAUACUCGCCUCGUCCUGCCCCGUUUAACUUUUUUUUGAAUUUAUUUAUUUAUUUAUUUUUAAAAUUACUUUUAAAAUUUUUAAUUACAUUAAAAUAAAUAUAUUUUAUAAAUAAUUAAAUAAUUAUAUUUUUUAUUACUUAUUUUAUUAAAAAUAUUUUAUUAUUAUCUAUAUAUUAAAAAUAGUAAAAUAAAAAUUAAAUUAAAUUAAUUUUAAAAAUUAAUUUUAUAUAUAAUUGGGGCGGGGUGGGACGGGGCAAUACCCAAACCUGCUUCGGGUUUUAAAAAAAAUUCUCAAACUUGUCCCAAACCCGUUUAUUAAAAUUGAACUCCGUCCCAUUAGGGACGAGGCGAGUACCUCGAAAAAACCUGCCUUAUUGUCAUUCCUAAGCACACUUUCAUUUUUUUUUUUUCAUUUUUAUUGCUUUUAUCUUUUUCCUCCCUAAGAUCAAUCAUAUUGUAAGCACCCCUUUUUUUUUUCUACCACAUCUUGUUGCAAUCAACCUUGUAAGUUUUUUUAAUUUAAAUUUUUUUUCCACUAUGGAGGCACGUACAACCAUAAAACCCCAUCUUUUUUUAUUUUAUUUUUACAACUCUCAAAUCUCUCAACCUCCAUACUAUUAGGUUUUAUUCAUUCAUUUAUUUAUUUAUUAUUCCAUAUCCAAAACUAUAAUUAAUUUUCUUUUAUAUUUUUUUAUUUUAGAUCUAUUAAUUUGAAUAUUCAAAAUUUCUAAUCUUUACUAAUAACUCUAAAGCAUUCAAAACUAAUUAAUAAAUAUAAAAUAUUAAUCUAAGGAUUAAAAUCUUAUAUAGAAAAUUGAUCUUCAAAUCUUAAACCCCCAAAUUUUCAACCUUACAUUGCGUUGUCUAAUAUCUCAAAUCUCCAUGUAAAAGGGCUUUUGAAUAGAGUAAAUAAGAAAAAUUUAAUUUAUACCUAAAAUUUUUAAAAUAGAGAAAAAUCUUUCUACCCUUAUUAAUUUAAUUUAAUUAAUUUUUUAAAAUUAUGUUUUUACCCUUUAAUUGGGUUUGGGCAUCACACAUCAUACUAAAAAGUUAUCAAUAACCGUCCUUUGAGGCAUAUUAGCAUAAAUUUGCAACUUUAGUUGUGUUCUAGGUGCAAUUCUAUUAUGUUUAAUUGAAAAAUAACACACAUAGCACAACCAAGCCUAAUUGAAAGCAUUUGGGCAAAUAAAUGGUAAAUUUCUAAAAGUUCACCAAAACAAAAAAAAAGAUCAUAGAGGGCAUAUUUUUCAAGUCAACCUAGUUUUGGGAUAGCCACUUUCAAGCCUAAUGAUGUUAAGAUGUCUUAUUGCAAUCCAAUCUAAGAAUGCAAUAAUAGCUCUUUAAUUCAUAAUUUUAAAUUCACAAAAGAUAUCACCAAAAAUUACCAUAGGUUACCAAAGCAUCAACAACAUACAGAAAGCUUAGAAAUGCUUGGAACCUAUCGGAUUUUCACUUUUUAGGAAUAAAAAAAAAAAUCAACUUUAAGGAUUUUAGGGUAAUACUUGCUUGAACCAUCUUUCAAUCCUUUUGUUGGUGGUGGGCCUUUUACCUAUAGGAACAGGAAUAAGAGGUGAAAAUGAGGGAGCCUUAUGAAAACAGAUCCCUAGGGCUUAAGAAGGGGUUUUCAAUUUUAGGGUUUGCCUUUUCACCAAGGAUGUGAAUGGGAAGAUCAAGUGAAGUUAAGAGAUUGGUGAAGCAAAGUGAGGGCAUGGUAGGGUUUGAAUAAGGGAAAUUCUACACUAUUAAUGAAGAUGAUAAUCUCGAGAAAGCAAAGCUAAGGUAAACUAGGGUUUUAAUAACAUUUUUCAAUCUACACUAGUGAAGACGAUAUCUUCGAAAACCAAAGCUAGGGUAAGCUAGGGCUUUAAUAAUGAAUUUCAAUCUACAAUGGUGAAGAUGAGAAUCUUCGAAAACCAAAUCUAUAAUGGUGAAGAUGAUUGAAAACUAAAUCUAUACUGGUGAAGACGAUUGUAAAGCAAAUCUACACUAGUGAAGAUGAUAAUCUUCGAAAACCAAAUCUAUAAUGGUGAAGAUGAUUGAAAACUAAAUCUAUACUGAUGAAGAUGAUUAGAAAGCAAAUAUUCACUGGUGAAGACAACGAAACCAAAGGUAGGUCUUCUAAACUAAACCCUUUUAGGGAUUUUCCAUUUUUUUUCCUUUGUUUUCAAGAAAGGUAAACUCUCUUGAAAACCAAAAAACUAAUGCAUUCUUAAAUCCAGAUCACCAUUUUCAACAUAGUAUUUGGAUUUCCACCUUGCAUUUUUUAUUUUUUAUUUUUUUUAAUAGUCAAGGGCAUUUUAGGGAUUAUUGAAGGAUAAUAUCAAUAAGCUCAAUUUCCUACAUUAGUUAGGUCUUAGGCUCAAAUGUGAAACUUAUAGGGAUGUUAGGCCAAUUAUCAAACUUACUUGCCUAAAGCAUAAUUUCCCCUUUUCAAAAUAGUUGUUAAACAUCAAUCCCAAACAUGUGUAACCCUUUGAAGUACUUGUAUGUCAACCUUGUUUCCUUUCCCUCAUGCAACAUGACUUAUUGAUGGUUGCAUUGAAUCAUUAUCAUUCACCAAAUCCAUGCAACUAUGGACUACCUUUCAAAUCCCUUGAACAUAAAUGGUAAUUCCAAAACAACUCAAGUAUAAUCUUUCCGGCCUUUCAAAUGAUUUAAUUAAUUGAUGUUUGAAUAUACUUCAUAUAUUUUUUUAGAGCAAUUUUUAGGCAUAUGACAUAAAUCUCUAAUUUUUUUUAUUUUUAUAAAAGGUUUUAUAUUUUAUAUUACAAUUUCCUCUCUUUUUUUUCAUCUAAAAAACAAAAUAUAAAACCUUAAUAAACGAGUUUUGUCACAAUCCCUUAAAAGGUAAUCUAUUUUUAAAAAUUACUUUAACCAUUUUAGAUAUAUUGAUUCAGUCUAAUUUAAUUUUAAUAUUUUUUAUAAAAUAUUUUUAUUUUAUAUGAUUAUAAAUUAAUUACCAUUGAUUGCAUAUUAUAGAAUAUAUAUUCUAAAAUAUAUCCUAUUGACAAUAAUAUCAUAAGAUAUUAUAUCCAUAUCCUAAUAUAUUAUAUACUUUUAUUUUGUGCAAUUAGCAACAGGGUGGAAGACGGCUUAGGCGGGAGACGGCUUAACGGAAAUGUCGUCUGCCAUGCGUGUCCCUUCCCUUAGUGAGUCUGAACAGCUCCAACAUUUCUGACACGCCCUUCUUCGGUUAGCUCUUAAGUAUUUUCGUUAACCCCAUCACAUUUCGCCAUGUGGAUCUAAGCCUCAUGGUCCUUUCGUUCGUACUAUGAAUAUAUUCCUUAUCUAGAGUCUGGAUCCUUUAUCUCUGCACGUGUCUAUGGCUCUUCACCCCAGCAAGUAUGGCAUUACAAGGGCAAUAUCGUCAUUAAAGACCCAAAAGGCAAACGAAUGGCAUUAUCUUCCUUUUGGGUCUAUUCUAUUUAUAUUUAUAUUGCAAGUUAUUCGUGAUGACUUCUCUCAUAACAGCUAAAAACCACUCCAACAGAGCACACUUCACUUCUUCGUUUUUGUCUUUCCUCUUUUUUUUCCAGAGAAGCUGAGAAAGCCCAGCUUGCCCUCAACUCCCCGAUGGGUUUGAUGAAUGUUCUCAAAUUCUCAGCUGCAUGCUUUGAUCUUCUUGGCUGGUAUGUUGUCCACGGAUUUUCUCGUCAUUGGAAAAUGAAGUGGAAUUCUAUGUUUGAGGACAAAACUGGGAUUUGCUUUGAUUUCUCCAUGUUGGUUUUAUCCCUUUCCUUUGAAUUGUCCACAUUCUUGUCAUUGGUUGUUAGUUAUUUGUUUGGAUUUCUACUUGCAGGCCUCUGUUUGCACUGGGUUAUCCUCUGUAAGUCUUGGUCUUACACCCCAAGAUAUGAUCAUUCAUUUACUCUUUUCUUGUUCUAUGAAUUCUUAGUUCUGUUACAUUUAUUGGGUUGGAUUAUUAGUUAUUAUAUUAAUAAUCAUCAACGUCAUCUCGGUUCUUCACAGAUGUGCUUCAAUUCGGGUAAUUGAGACUAACUCAAUCUCAGACGUUCGGAAGUUGGUGGCGUAUUGGGUUCUAUUUUCCUUGGUUUCACUCUUUGAUCAUACUUUUGCCAAGCUCCUUGAAUGGUAAUUUUGCUCAACUGCAUUCCACUAUAUGUGGCUCUAUUUCUUUCAUUUCUCUGCCCUUAAGGAAUUUGGAGUUGCUUUUUUCAGUUUUCUUCCCUGUGAAAAUAAUCGAGAUGUUUAAUGUUCCAGGCCUGCAUGCUCAAGGAAGUGGUGUCAGCUUUGGAAAUAAGAUGGAUCUACUAGUUUUUAUUUCUCAUCUUUAUAGGGAACUUUCCAUAAUCACAGUGAUGAAUAAUUGUCUUGUUUGAAAGCAUGGUUGCACUUAUUUCCAUGGAAUUUGUCUGCUGAGAAACAAAUGGAAAUAGAAAAUUCAGAAUCUGACAAGUUUGUGUAGGGCAACUGGAUCUAAUCUCUUAGUCGAAGCUUAAUUGGGGCAAAUGCUGAUCAUCUUUGGACCAUUGAAGGCUCUAAUCUGUGCACAAUUCUAAUGUUUUUGUUUUCUUCAUUUCUUUUUCAACUGUUCAUAAUAGAUGUCAAAAGAUAAAACCGAACUUAUGUAGUCCAUCCAAGUGGAUGCAUAUAAAUUUAACAGAAACUGAAAUUCGAAGAAAUUUAUUUAUUUUUUUAAAUAUUUUAUUUUCUUAUAUAAUGCAUGUCAGGAUACCAUUCUGGCCUUACAUAAAGCUGAUGGUCAUCUGCUGGAUGGUGAUACCGCAUUUUGAUGGUUCAUAUUAUGUCUAUCAACACCUAGUUCAUCCAUGCUUGUCCAUUGAUCCACAAGUUGUCAUGAAUUGGCUUUUCAAUGAAUCAAAAAAGAAGUUUCAUAGCAGAGAAAACUUUCUUGUUUCAGCAGACCAAUAUAUUAAGGAGAAUGGACCUGAAGCUUUGAAGAAACUACUUGCUAGGAAGGUAUGCCAUUAUAAGUAGGAUUAUCAACAAGUCAAACAGAGUUUUAUUUGAGAUGUUCAAGUAAAAAAUGACUAUAGCAGGUCAUCUAGAAUUAUGUGGUCUAAAUUCAUGUAUAUAUCUAUAUAUAAUUGUGUUCUCUUUUUUUCACAUAUGCAUGUGCAUUUAGAUUUACAUAAUUAUAUAUGCAUAAUCAGAUUCAACUGUGAUAGCCCGGGAUUUAAUUCAGUAAUCAACUCUUCUGGGAACAUGUUGGUUAUGGUUUCUCUCUCACUGUCCUCUUAUUUAUACAUGACUUUGGCUUCAGUUGAGGAGCACAAAGCCUAAUGUUGAAGUGAAAGAGAUCAAAGCACCUGCAGCACCGGAGAAAAAAGGGGAAGCGGUAUGCACUCUAAUGUGGCUAUUUUAUUUCUAUGGAGGCAGAUCCCCAGAAAAAUGUUGCUCAUGUAAAUUAGUGAUGCAUUUAAAAGAAAAACCACUUUAUGUAUGUUUCUGUGAAAAAGAGAACAAGUUUAUGGAUUAAGUGAUAUUUUUUAUGGUGAAAUAAUCAAUAAUUUUCAAAAUAAUAAUAUAUUCGUGCAUGUUUUUGCAAUUCAUGAAUUCCUUUUACGAUUGAUUCUUCUCACCUCAGUGGAAGUGUGAAGAGCCUAAUGUUGCAGAAAAGGAGAUCCAAGUAGUCAAAGUAACAGACAUAAAAAAUGGGGGGAUGGAGCAAAGAGGGUAAGUUUUCCUUUUUAUUUAUAAGGAAGGCUGUCUUCACACAAGGAUUAUUGUUAUUAUUUUUAAGACAUGAAUGUUGAAUGCAUUUGGAAUUGUCGUUGAAUCAUGUGAAGUGUGAAGGUGCAAAUGGUGCUAAGAAGGAGAUCAAAGUGAUGGAAGUAACACAGAUAACAUUUGGUGAUACAGAACAGUGGGUAAGGUUUCUUGUCAUACUUAAACGGCACCUCAUAUUUCACUAGGAUUAAUUUUGGCCUACAAACAUAUUUGGCUACAAGUUGAAGACAGAUUUCCAGAUACUGGUAGAAGUUGAGACAUAAGUAAUGAAUGAGUUUAGAAACAUGCACAACUCUUGUGUGAAACACAAUGAGAGUGGAAAAUAGCUAAGUUGAAAAAUGGCCAAAUACUAUUUUGUAGUUCCCCCCACCACUUAAGUAAUUUUUGUCAUCCUUUGUGAAUGGACAAUGCAGUCCCUUCAGUAAUUCCGCUAUAUUCAUGACUUGGUGAAGCAUAUAACCAUUAGUGUCUUGUCCUAAGUUGACCUUUAAUGAUGAUCCAUUGAGAGGGAUCUGACUUUUGUCAACCCUCUUAGAGGUUAAACAUACGGGGCUUAACCCACUUUUCAAUCUCAUUGGAUAUAUGGCACGUGGUAUCCUCUUCAUCUUGAAAGAGUGAAGUGGUCAUACUCUUUCCUCCGAGUCCAUCGUGGCCAUGCACUUCUGGCUCAUUGGGCUGAGUGAAAGGAUUCCCUUCUGCUUCAAAUCAUAGAGAGAUAUGCCAUGGUCAGCCUCUUUAAUUUGAAGGAUUGAAGUACUCAAAUCCAUUUCUUUGCAUCCAUCUUAGUCCUGCUUCCAUGUCUCAUGGUUAACCAGGAAGAUCAAGCUUCCAUCCAUGAGAUCAGCAUCUGCAGGGUUAUGACUCCACCCUUCCUUGGCAUAGGAAAGCGAUCAUUAAGCCACAUGUCGGAUGACAGAAGUCGUCAUUCAGGUUAUCUUGAGAACUAGGGAAGUUGGAAUUCUAAUUAUUGCAUAUGGUUCUUGAUGUUUAGCCAAUAUACUAUAGGAUUUUAAGCAUCAUGCCCAUGUGCAUUGUGGUUUUUUAUCAGCUAUAUGGUUUACCAAACUGAGGGAUUGAUUAUAGUCAUAAGUACCCUUUUCCCAUUAAUUUCUUGCAUGUGCUUUGCUGAGAUUAUGUUUUUGACAGUGCUAAUCAGGGCAAACCAACAAACAGCUUUAUGUUAACUUUUACAAACUGCCACAUUUUCAGGUUGAACGAUCAGACAUAAAUCUUGGUGAAACUAGAAGUAAUACAACCUGUGCUGUGGAGAUAAAAGAAAGGGCAGCAGCACUGGUGGCUGCAGAAAUUGAGGCAUGUAGAGACAAUAGAACCCCCGAGAUACCUCUGCAUAAGAAAGUCCAGAAAGAGUGGGCUUGUGCUGUAUGCCAGUUCACAACCCAAAGUGAAGUGACCUUCAAUUCCCACCUUCAAGGGAAGAGACAUCAGGCCACUUCUGAGCAGUUGAGAGCCAAAAACCAGGCAACCAAAACCAAUUGUUCCCCAUCUGCUUCAAAGGCCAAGAAAUCUGAUCAGUCCACCAAAGAGGAGCAACCAAAGUGUCCUUCCAACAAUCUGAAUUCCAAAAACAAUGGAAUCUCAGCUGCUUCAACAGUGAAGAAACCUGACGAGACCAAAGAUGAUGAGCAACAAAAGUGUGCAUCCAGCAAUGGACCAAACCAGAAGAAUAACAAAAAGCAAGAGGAGAAGGUGCUAGUUCUUGAGACCAAUGAGCAAGGCCAUCAGAAUAAUUUUGAUCCACGAUCCCACAUUUAUUUUGGGUCUCACAAGUUUCAAAUUUGCAGAAAAAUGAAAGAUGUUUGAGAGAAAAUUAAAUCAUAUUGCACUACUGUUAGGAAAAAUAUGGCUGAAUCCAAUUGCUUUUCUUCUCCAAGUCUAUUAAAAAUAUAAUUUUUUCUCCAUUCCUGACAAAAUUUAAAUUUUUUCCUUAAAAAAAAAAAAAUUAAGUUUGAUCACCUAACACAUCUUUCUAAACUCAAUCUCAACUUGAAAAAUCAAACCUUAAUGGAUGGACUAUAGAAAUAGUGAGAAAACACUUCUGGGGUUUUUUUUUUCUUCCAACAUCAAAUUUUUCUAUAUAUGGGAUUUCACAUGCAAAAGCAGGAGUAGAUUUGCUUGUGUUUGAUGUAUGUAUUAGAAAAAUUUGUCCCUUCUGGGAUGUUUAAUACUUUUCUAUUCUUUUAUAUGCAUGUUUAGCUAGAAGAUAUAGAAUCGAUACCAUUCCUUAAAAGUGAUAGCCACAACUGUGAUAAUUAAACACCAAAGAAUGUGAAGAUCUAUAUAUUCUUUUUUUUUUCCUCUCUCUUUCAAUAAUGAAGCUAAGAUGUGUUGUAAGCAUCAAAUGCAUUGUCUCUGCUUGAAUAUAUACAAAGCCAAGGACCACAAGAUGGAUAGAUAUGGGGACGCACAAAACUUCUCAAACAUGAUUAUAUUAAUCAAGAAUUCAACUAAGCUUAAAUUCAAGAUGUUGAUUUCUAGCAUCUCUGGUGCUAUAGGAUGACUAUUGAUCCUGUACUGUUAUGUGCCCUACUGAUAUAUUCUUCGGGUUGUUAUGUAUAAAUAAAAUUUUUGGGAAAGUUUGCUUGGUGGUUACACUAUCACUAUUUAGGCCAGUAAAAAUUGGAAGCCUUUGUAAAAAACUGAUGGUCCAAGAGCUAUUCUACUUCAUCAUCCAUGUAAUAUGACGAUACAAAUUUGACUAAAUGCAGCUAUAGAAGGCUUAGGACCAUAAACCAAGCCUAGUCGAUGUCACUCACCUAAAUUUAUGCAUAAAGCUUUUGGAUGGCUCAGAGUUAUAUUUAAUUACUGUUAUGUUCGCAACUAUAUUUUCAUUGGAUUUAUAGUCCAGCUUGAGAACUAGUCCUCCAUUGCACAUAAUGUCCACACAAGGCCACAGUGCCCGCUCAAAGGCCAUAGCGCUACUCAAGGAUAUAGUGCUUACUCAAGGCCAUAGAGCCCACCUAAGGCUAACGACCCAAAAGGAGAAAAAGGUUGGUUCCACGUACUCUAAUAUUUACUAGAAAAGGUUCUUCCUAUUAAAGAACAAAAAAUUGCAUUCCCUUGUGACCAAUCCAAACAGUAGACCACUGACUUGUAUAAGGCAUUAUUCACCAUGCAAGCACUUUUUCAGCAACCUACCAUCUGGCAUGAACCAUUUUGGAUUGAUUCACAAAGCAAUGGUGUUAUAUUAAGCAUAUUCAAUAUAGAACCAAAUUGUGCCUCCUUAGAUUAACUAAAAUAUUUCCAUUGCAAGAUGUGCAGAUAGGCAUAUGAUCAUGAAGUAAUUUCCUGAUGAUAAUACCCCACAAAAUAUUUCUUUUUCUCACUGAUCUCUCCUAGAUUUUCAGUUCACCCAUCCAUGGCGCCUGACUAAAAAUGGGGGCAUUUUGGAUACCCCGAGCAGUAAGUUAGCCUGGUAGGCAUCCCGUUGCAAGCAAAGUCAACCCGAGCGGUCCAUUUGACCAAAGCUUAUCCAGGCAGUAAGCGUCCAUAUACAGCUAACUGUUAUGCACCAUCAACAGGUUGAGGUUACAAGAUUAAAGAGUCAUAAUGGCCAAAUGGAAGUUACACGACUCGGCCUAUAUAAUAACAGUAUGACAAAAAAUGCAGGUAUGAAGAACUAUCACUGAAAAAAUUUAUUCCUAAAAAUCCUUUAAGCUCCUUUAAGCUAACUUGGGCAUUGGAGAGGUCUCUCCGAAGCACACUCGAGCUUACCUUUUUGUAAGACAUCGAGAACAAGAGGCAUUGAAGUGAUUGUCCGGAGGGUUGAACUUGGUCGGGAACCAACAAUACACACUAUUCAAAAAUAGGGAUCAUAUUAAAUUAUUAAUGCAACCAUAGGAAGCAAUUGAGGACAAGGGUGUUAUUUGAUUAAAAGGGUAAUUGAAAACCUAAAUUUUGAAAUUUAACCCUCCAUUCUAUUUGGCCUUAUGUGAACAAAAAUGCCUUCAUUAUUUUCUUGUAAAAAUAACUCACCCAUUUAAACCUUACAUGAAAAUACUUAAAAUGGUAAAUGAUAUGUUAAAAAUUGAUUAUUUUUCAAAUAAAACAUAAGAAGGGUCAAAUUCAUGAAAGGAUUAUUUCAUCCCUUUUAAUCAAUUAAUUCGAUUUAUUUCUUUUUAUUUUUUUUCUCUCCAUGUUAAUUUUCACAUCACCCAACAACACCACUCUUAAUUCACACAAGUUUGAAGUUUUUGAAUGAGAUAUAUUCGUAAUUAUAUUGUAAUUGUGUUAUAAUAACCAUUUCGUACUUGGAUUUGUUCUUUCAGUCCAUUUAACCUUUUUGUUUAUUCAUGUCAAAACAAUGUACUUAUAAUCGAAUCCAUUUAUGACAUGUUGAUCUUAUAUAAAUUUAUUAAUUUUAUAUAUUUAAAAAUUAUAAAAAUUAAAUAUACUUUUUCAAUUAUGAAUAUCAUAUUACUAAAAUAUUAAAUAACAAAUUAACUUGAAAUGCUAUAUAUUUCAUUAAUUAUUUUAUAAUUAAAACAUUAAAUGAAAUAAUAAACAAGUAUAAAAUAGAAAAUUCUAUCUUAGUUAGAAAUUAUAAACUGUUAUUGAGACAUAUAAGUAUUAAAAUUCUACCCAUUUCACUACCAAACAACUUAUGUUUUUAGUCAUAAUUUAACCUUAUGAUGAACACUUAAAUAAAAUUUGUCAUCUUUUUCUAUUGAUUUAUAUUUAUUUAUUUAAAAAUUUUGUCUGGCAUAAACUAUCAUCUCACAAAAUCAUCAUUGAUGAGUAGGCUAUGCCCCAGUGUAAGCAUCUCCAAAUCAAACAUCAAUGAGAGGAGUACAACCAAUCAUACAUCAUCUUAUCAAAAUGAAUCUCCGCUUUUCAAAGUCAUCGUGGUAACGUGAAGAGAGUAUUUGACCUCCUCUAAAGAAAAAACAUGUCUUGAUGUGAAAAAGAUCAAGCAAAGUGGUAUGCCUCAACAAAAAUGUGCUCAAACAUGAUCAUGCCCCGAUGUAAGUUAGUAUCUCUAAGAUCAAUCGCCAAUGAAAAGGUUAUUCCCCAGUAUAGGGCAAACUCUGAAAUGACUAAACUCCGUUGCAAGCUCUCAUAAGUGUCUGUGUCAUGAUCCAAUCAUCGCAAAAAUUUGUCAACAAUGAUGAGAAGGCUAUGCUCCUAUAAUCACAUCAAAGAAAUCACUCGGUCAUAUUACUCCAAUGUGAAAGAAAUCUAAUCACCUCCAAGGAACAGCUAUGCCUCAAAACCAUCAUCGACUGAGAGGGGGAUGCCCCUGAUCCAAUCACCACCCUAACUAACGUACCCAUCAUGAGGAACACUUGUUUGAGCUCCAUAAUGGGGAUCAACCAUUAGAUGAACAAGAUUCGAAUAUUACUUGCUCCCCAUUUCAACCAAUGAAUGAUGUACCUGGAAACCUUGUAGACAACCAUAGUUUUCAGCCUUCUUCCUCGCGAUCAUCUAGAACAGAGUCGGUAAGCUUCACUCAUUUCUUAUAAUGGACCUUGACCCACAACGUCGAACUACCUGUAUGCAAAAUUAUCCGUCCAGAAAACCCAUCCAUACAAUUCAGGUUCAAAACCCACAAGAACCACCCUAUGAAUAAACUAAUUAUAGCUGGCUUCGUUGCAAUAGGCAUUAACUUUCUUAUGCUGACAGUCCUAGCAUCAUUUACCAAAGGAUCAACAACUUUUCCAUGUCAGAGAACAUUAUCAAUCACAAUGACACCCCUGGUCCUCACUAGUUGCGAUAGCAAUUUAAAGUAUUCUUGAUUCAAAGGGUAAACAAAACAAAAAAGAAAACCCUAAGUGUGACUCCUUAUUUGAAAAAUGUGGUUUAUGAAAAACCGGAUCGAGCUUAGGGGUCAGGUUACUUAUCGGGAAGGUACAAAAAAAACCGUAGCACCCCUCUAAGUCCCUAAAAUGGGUCUCUAUUGAUAAAAUGAAGCAAUCAUGGCAAUUGGUAAGGAAAUCAUUGAGUAUCAACAUGAUCACACAUUGAGAGUUAAAGCAUGCAUGAGGAAUGGUCAAAGUGAGAAAGGAUGCGUACCUUAGCAACGAGUCCCAAUGCGCUAUCAAGAAAUUGGGUUAGUGCACAAUCAAUAAAUAUAAAAUAUAACACACAUGCAUCACUAAAUAGGGUAAUAAAUCCCCGAUGACAAACCUUGCACUUCACUCAGGUUUAUUUCUACUUCUCUGAUGUUGGGCCCCACCAAAGCUCAUUUUAUUUUGCAUGAAUCAACUCCAAUAACUCCAUUAUUCGGAAUUACGAAAUUUAAUUCUUGCUUAUUUUAAAGCAUUUUAAAAAUAGAGGAGAUAUGAGAAUUGCUCGCCAGAAAAGAAGAUGGCGGCAAAAUUUUAAUGAAAAACGAGUUUUUGGAACCUAAGAAAAAUGUUAAGGAUGGAAAAUUUUGGAGGUUUGAAAUUAAUUAAAAAUUAGAAUUGAGGAAUUUAUUUACAAAAUGGGGUUUAGGAAAAUUAUUUUCAAAAAAAAAAAAUGAUGAAAUGAGAGAUGGCACGUGACACAAGGGUGGCCAUGCUGAAGGCGUUCUCUUCUGGCCCAAGCUGGAAAUGCACUCCAAUUAUCCUUCUUUUCUGGUAUAACACCUUCAUCAAAAUAAAUAGCUUUUGCACCAUACUCUGAUAGACAAGGACCAAUAACAAUGCCUAUAUUUGCCUUAAGUAGACAAAGUAAGUCACCCAUUGAACCUCCAAUAUAAAUUGUCAAGUGCUCUGUGUCAUUACUGCAUCCCUCCUUCAAGAUGUCCUUAGAAACCUAAAGCUUUUCCACGACAUACUCCAUCUUCUUAAUGAUUUCACCCGUGGAAAUGGAUUCUUCACAAGCCAACUCAUUUGAAUAUACUCUCAAAACACCCAUAUCACCUGAUGAAAAUGCUGAUCUAACGAAAUCGCCACACCAACAGUAUGAAAGUCCAUGAACAUCUGCUUUCAGAUUAUUAUUUUUAAGAAUCUUUUGGAAGAAACCUGUGCAACCAUCUUGAAGAAUUAGACCUUGACCAACCUGUUUUAUAUCAUCUGAAUUUAAACCCUUCAAUACUCCAGACUGAGUCACUCUUGAAUCUGCCUUUUCCUCAAAAUCAGAAAGUUGCUCAAGUGCUUUACAUAAGCCUUCAUAAUUGAAUUUUUCCACUGUUUCACUGGGGACGAUGCUUCCCAUGCAUUUUUCAAGCUCUUCAGUAUGCUGGGUAGAUAGAACACCCCAUGUGUGUGUCCAGAUCACCAUGAGUGACCAUUUGAACCUUGACGAAUGAGAGAGUACAUAACAUUUAAGCACACAGGACAUAUAUUAACAUUCUCCAUUAGCUUCUCUUUGCCUUUGUCCACCUCUUGACCUCCCAUGCAGCCAACUGUGAAGACCACGUCCAGGUGCAGUCACGUGGUGACACAUCUCAUGGUCUUCCUCAUCCAAUAAAUCACAUGCUCUGUUAAAUCUGCUACCCGAAUGGAUACCUCCUAUCCAUCAACCUGAAUAUACUCCGAGCUUUCUUCAUAAAACCCAAGAAACUCCAGAAGGCAUCAUGGUUCUCCUCCAUCAUUGAAAUGAUUAGGGAUAGUAAAUCACUCAUCCCUUAGCAAUAUCCCAUUUUUAAACCAUAGGGUGCGUAGGCUUCUAGAAUAGUAGCAAAGUGAGCAACACGGAAAAUCUUGCGUGGAUCCAAGUUCCAUGAUGGUGAUCGUAGCCUCACCUUUGAAAUCACAAGACCCAGAACCCAUUCGUUCUUCCUGGUAAUAACUAUCAGAUGCAUAGGAGGCAGGGUUCUUCAGAUUGUUGAUUUGGUAAAAGCCUCUUCUGGUUGAACCCCUGAAUGAUUCACUUUUCUCAGUCCGCAAACCUAGUUCAGAACAGCCCGCAAGAUCAGAACCUUAACCUAGGCGUGGAGAUCCAGUGUUGUAUAACGCCUCAAUUGUCGGAAGCAGCCAUGGCCCAAACAAUGAUAUAAUGGUCAGCAAGUUGUCCCCAAGGACCAUGACAGUGAUGAGCAUUUCCGGGCAGCGCGUCACCACGUUCCACGUCGCGACGGUAAUGGCUAUGGACUGAGUGUCAUGGUCAGGGAGCUUGAUGAAGCAGGUGAAAAUCUGGUGUUUUAGAUUCUGAGGCAAUGACUGCUUGAUCGGUCGGAUUCUAGUACCGGCGUUACAUUGGGGAGGCAAUCUUAAAGUUCCAACGGAGGUAGUAGUGGACUAAUAUUCCUCAAUAACCAAACUUGAGUUUCUCACUUUCCGCUUCUCAAGGCAUUCACCUGAAACGCUUCAGGCGCCCAAACCCUUUCUGCUCAUCAGUAUAAUCACGCGCAUGAAAGUCUUAACUGCCUUCUAAACUUCACAACUUCAUCUUGCAUCUGGGUCAUCGUCGGCACGAACUUAUCACCUGAUUCAGUUAAUAUCCCCAUAUAACAAGUUCCAAUGAAGUCGCAACUUUGCAUCUUCUUUUCUGCGAUUACUUUGAUUCUCAAAGCCGAUUACUUGUUGCAGUCCAUAGGAGAUUCAAUAAUCAAACAUCAUGCACAAGCAAAAAGGCAACAAAAUACAUCGGCAUGUGGCCCAUACACCCUCCAAAAUCUUCACUCAUUUAGUAAGUUUUAGAUUCAAAAGAGUUAGCCUUCUGGUGAGCAACCCGAUACCCAUAACGAAUGAUGUAUCUGAAACACCUUUCCCACGUGGCCCUUGAAGGAUUCACUAGAAGGUGACCAUGCAUAGUAGGUCUUCACUCGCAGGAGAAUGAGAAGGAAAUAAACCUAAAGGGGGGUUGACAGCGUAGUCUAGAAGGUGAUGAGCUGAGCGGGUGGGGGUAUUAGGGUGGUCAAGUUCAGUGGGUAUGAAGGGUGGAAAGAUGGCAUGAUAGAGGAAUAAGCAGCUGAUAGUGGGUGCGAUGAUAUAAGGUAGGUUGACUAUGGAGAGUAUGGCAUUAAAGGAUGAAGACUUAGAGAGAGAGAGGUGGGUUUAAGGGUAUGGUGAGAUGGAGGGUUGAGGGUGAUAGGCUUGGAUAGUUGCAUGAGGAGGAUGAAAGGUGGGUAUGGAAAAUGUGCAUGGGUAGGAAAUGGGUAUAACAAUGGGUGUGAAUAUUGAGAGGUAGUGAAAUGAAGGCAGCCUUGCUCGUAUGGAUCAGUGUCGGAUUGAGUUAAGAAUGGUGAGAGAAAGGGAUUCGAUGAAUAUUGAAUGAUGGAAAAUGGUGAUUGGUUAGAUAGGGAUUUGUGGUCGAAUGGAAAUAGGAGACAUGAACAUAGAGAUGAGUGUGAUGGAUGAUAGUGGGCAUGAAGGGUAUUGGAUUUGUUCAUGGGUAUAGUGGUUAAAAGAGUGGUGAGAAGAAAAAAAAAUGGCCAUGUAAAUAGCAAUUAUACAUGUGGGCCCGUGAUUGCAAACGGGACUGCAUUGUUGCAUCUCAUGCUGAACCCUCACCUCCUUCUAGGAUCAUUUUCUGCAUCAAAGCUAGAUAAACUUAGAUGGUAUUUCCUGCCAAUUUUGGAUGCCCCCCACUUUGGAAAUAUUUCCUUUUCACCCAUCAGAAUAUGCUUAUCAGGUGUACUUGACUCAGGUUCAUUCCCAUAUUGCCUCUCUGAUUUAUGAUCUUCAAAGGUUUUGCAUGAAGGAAGCCUUUCACUGCAUUCCCCUUCAUCCACCAGACCUUCAGAGCAUCGUUUCCAACAAAAGCAACCUUGACUCUUCUAGUCCCAUCAGAAAAAAGUCUGAAUAUCCUCAGUUUAUGUCAUCCCUUGAUGCCCAACUCAGAAAUGAUCCAAAAAACAGUCAUCUCCCAUAUUUGGCUUCCCAGAAACACCUCGACUCAGAUGGCCAGUCCAAAUGUGAUACCCAACAUUCUAAAAAUGCUAAAAACAGAGGAGAUGAUGAAGAAAAACAGAGCAUGUAUAAAAGAAAAAAAAAAGGACUGUUAAAUCUCACUCCAUUCCAUAAAUGCUAAUGGGGUGGAUAUGGUGGAAUCAAAAGGAAGCAAGAGCGUGAUCUUCAAAAUCAAAAGCAAUGAUGGAUCCAUAUUCAAAACGUUCCAGAAUAGAGAAAGACACAAAUAAGGAGCAGGGUUUUUUUUUGUUACUGGCAGGAAGAUAUUUUUUCUAGAGAGUAACUAGAGAGAAAAAUAGGAAGAAAAGGGAAGAGCAUAGAAGACAUCUACAUAGGAGAGUAUUCAUUGUUGUGAGGAGUAGUAGAGAGCUUAGGAGGAGUUACAAAGAGAGUGAGUUUGGUUAGAGGAGGAAGUUUUGUUGGUUUUUCAGAAAGGAUUCUAGCUUGAGUGAGAGCCAUUCUAGAGAGGGUUAGAGAGGAGAAAGGUGUGUUUUGAGCAGCAAAGACACGAAGCAAAAUAGAGCAGCCAGGAAAGAGAAGCAGAAAAUCAAAAUUACUAAAAAAUUAGUGAAAGCUGUGAAAUUUCAUAUUGUUACUAAUUAUUAUAAUUUUUUUUUGUAUUUUCAAUAUUUCAACCAAUAUUUUAUAUAAUUAAAUUUAAAUUAUAAGAAUUAUAUUAUUAAUACACAUAACUAUCUUAAUGUUUUAACAAUGUAUACUUAUUUAAAUUUAUUUCAAUUUUUUUAUUUUUUUAUAAAUAUCUAAUUAGACUUAUAAUUCAUUGAAAUUAUUCAUUUUUUUUUUACUUCAUAAACCAAUUAUAUUACUUUUUGUAUUUUCAAUAUUCAUUUGGAAAAAAUAAUUUCAAUUUAAAAUAAAAUAAAUUAAUUAACUCUCAAUUUAUAAAUUGUGUCAUUGAAUUAUUUUUUAUUUAUAAUAUUUAGUUUAUUUUAAAUUUAAUUUUUUUUCUUCACCUUUUGGUUUAUCACUUUAUAUUAAAAAAUAAAAUAAAAUUGAAUUUCUUUUAAUUUAUAUUUUCACAAAUUAUUCAAUAUUUUUUUAAUUUUUAUAAAAUAAAUCCUCAGAUUAUAUAAUUGGAUGUUGUAAAGAGUUAAAAUUUUUGUGUUGCAUUGAAUUAUUUUUUCUAACAAAAGUAUAUUUGGGUACCGUAGACAUUAUAUCCAUAUCUUAACGUAUUAUAUACUUUUAUUUUGUGCAAUUAGCAAUUGAGCGGAAGACGCGGAGCCGGCUAACGGAAAUACCGCGUGUCACGCGUGUCCCUUCCCGUACCAAGUCUCAACUGCUUCAAGAUUUCCGACGCGCCCUUCUUCGCUUAACUCUUAAGUCUUUUCUUCCACUCUUCCUUAAACCCAUCACAUUUCGCCGCGUGGACCUAAGUCUCAAUGUCCUUGUGUUCAUACGAUGUAUGUUCCCCCAAUUCCUCAUCUACACUGAAACUCCAUACUCGCCUACUCAAUCACUUCUCUACUCUAGAGUCUGGAUGCUUAUCUCUGCGCGUGUCGAUGGCUCUUCACCCCAGCGAGUAUGGCAUUACAAGGGCAAUAUCGUCAUUAAAGACACAACAGAGUGUCUAUUUUAUUUAAGCUGUACGUAAUCGUGAUUGACUUCUUAGUAUCCUUUUGCUCCUAGUCUUCUCCCGCGUCUCUUAUAAAAACUAAAGAAAACCACUCCAAGAGAGCACACUACAAGAAUCUUCUUCCUUUUUUUCUUUCCUCUUUCUCUUUACAGAUAAACUGAGAAAGCCCAGCUCAUCCCUCAAUUCCCAGAUGGGUUUCAUGAAUGUUCUCAAGUUCUCAGCUGCAUGCUUUGAUCUUCUUGGCUGGUAUGUUGUCCACGCGUUUUCUUGCCAUUGGAAAUUUUUGGGAAAUGAAGUGGAAUUCUCUGUUUGAGGACAAACAUGGGAUUUUCUUUGAUUUCUCCCUGUUGGUUUUAUCUAUAUUCUUUGAAUUACCCACAUUCUUGUCAUUGAUUGUUAGUCAUUUGUUUGGAUUUCUACUUGCAGGCCUCUAUGUGCACUGGGUUAUCCUCUGUAAGUCUUGGUCUUACACCUCAAGAUAUGAUGAUUCAUUUACUCUUUUCUUGUUCUACGAAUGGUUCAGUUACAUUUAUUGUGUUGGGAAACUGAAAAGGAAAAGGAUUAUUAGUUAUUAUCGUAAUAAUCAUCAACAUCAUCUCGGUUCUUCACAGAUGUGCUUCAAUUCGGGCAAUUGAGACUAACUCAAUCUCAGACUUUCGGAAGUUGGUGGCGUAUUGGGUUCUAUUUUCCUUGAUUUCACUCUUUGAUCAUGCUUUUUCCAAGCUCCUUGAAUGGUAAUUUUGCUCAACUGCAUUCCACUAUAUGUGACUCUGUUUGUUUCAUUUCUUUGCCCUUAAGGAAUUUGGAGUUGCUUUUUUCAGUUUUCUUUCCUAUGAAAAUAAUCGAGAGGUCUCCAUGUAUUUUAUAUUCCUUCAUUUCUCUGCUUUGACAAAGGCCCACAUUCUGAUCAGCAGAAAGGUUAUAACAUUUGAAAAAGAAGUGCUUUAUUUUUGUUUUUUGUUAGUACAAUAAUUUUCGUUUGGAUAAAUGGUCUGAAGGGUGUUUGUGUUUGGCUGAGUUCAUGGAAUUUUCUAGCUAAUUUGGGAUUUAUUCUCAAUUUCAAGAUCAUUGUGGAUAUGUCAGAAAUUAAUGAAAUAUAAACGGUGGAAUGUGAUUUUCUUGUUUAAGAAAAGUUUUUCUUUGAAAAUACGGGUGCACCUGACCUACCUUAUUGUGCUACUUGGAACACAAAACAUUAGUACAGGUAAUUUAUUAACUAAAUUGUACACUUUUUGAUAGUUCAAGGAGGUGGUUUUCUUCUUUUAGGGUGUCAGCUUUGGAAAUAGGAUGGAUCUAAAAGUUUUUAUGUCUCAUCUUUAUAGGGAACUUGAAAGCAUGGAUGCACUUAUUUCCAUGGAAUUUGGCUUCCUUGAAAUCAAAUUAAGCUUUAUGCAUCAUUUGGAUGCUGAGAAACAAAUGGAAAUAGAAAAUUCAGAAUCUGACAAGUUUUUGUAGGGCAACUGGAUCUAAUCUCUUAGUCGAAGCCUAAUUGGGGCAAAUGCUGAUCAUCUUUGGACCCCAUUGAAAGCUCUAAUCUGUGCACAAUUCUAAUGUUUUUGUUUUCUUCAUUUCUUUUUCAACUUUUCACAAUAGAUGUCAAAGGUUAAAACCAAAUUUACGCAGUCCAUCCAAGUGGAUGCAUAUAAAUUUAACAGAAACUGAAAUUCGAAGAAAUUUAUUUUCCCUUUUGUAAAUGGUGUUUAAAUAUUUUAUUUUCUUAUAUAAUGCAUGUCAGGGUACCAUUCUGGCCUUACAUAAAGCUGAUGGUCAUCUGCUGGCUGGUGAUACAGCAGUUUGAUGGUUCAUAUUAUGUCUAUCAACACCUAGUUCAGCCAUGCUUGUCCAUGGAUCCACAAGCUGUCAUGAACUGGCUCUUCAAUGAAUCAAAAAAGAAGUUUCAUAGCAGAGAAAACUUUCUUGUUUCAGCAGACCGAUAUAUUAAGGAGAAUGGACCUGAAGCUUUGGAGAAACUACUUUCUAGGAAGGUAUGCCAUUAUAAGUAGGAUUAUCAACAAGUCAAACAGAGUUUUAUUUGAGAUGUUCAGGUAAAAAAUGACUAUAGUAGGUCAUCUAGAAUCAUUUGGUCUAAAUUCAUGUAUAUAUCUAUAUAUAAUUGUGUUCUCUUUUUUUCACAUAUGCAUGUGCAUUUAGAUUUACAUAAUUAUAUAUGCAUAAUCAGAUUCAACUGUGAUAGCCCGGAAUUAUUUCAGUAAUCAACUCUUCUGGGAACAUGUUGGUUAUGGUUUCUCUCUCACUGUCCUCUUCUUUAUACAUGACUUUGGCUUCAGUUGAGGAGCGCAAAGCCUAAUGUUGAAGUGAAAAAGAUCAAAGCACCUGCAGCACCGGAGAAAAAAGGGGAACAGGUAAGUUCUCUAAUGUGACUAUUUAAUUUCUAUGAGGCAGAUCCCCAGAGAAAUGUUGCUCAUGUAAAUUACUGAUGCAUUUGAUUCAAUGGCAUGGUUUUAAAAGAAAAACCACUUUAUGUAUGUUUCUGUGAAUAAGAGAACAAGUUUAUGGAUUAAAUGAUAUUUUUUAUGGUGGAUUAAUCAAUAAUUUUCAAAAUAAUAAUAUAUUCGUGCAUGUUUUUGCAAUUCAUGAAUUCCUUUUAUGAUUGAUUCUUCUUGCCUUUUUUCUCACCUCAGUGGAAGUGUGAAGAGCCUAAUGUUGCUCAAAAGGAGAUCCAAGUUGUCAAAGUAACAGAGAUAAAAAAUGGGGGGGAUGGAGCAAAGAGGGUAAGUUUUGCUUUUUAUUUAUAAAGUAGGCUGUCUUCACACAAGGAUUAUUAUCUUUAAGACAUGAAUGUUGAAUGCUUUUGGAAUUGUCCAUGAAUCAUGUGUAGUGUGAAUGGCCUAAUGCUGCUAAGAAGGAGGUCAAAGUGACAGAAGUAACACACAGAACAUUCGGUGGUACAGCACAGUGGGUAAGGUUUCAUGUCAUAUUUAAAUGGCUCCUCAUAUUUCACUAGGAUUAAUUUUGCCCCUACAAACAUAUUUGGCUACAAGUUAAGACAGAGUUCCAGAUGCUGAUAAAGUUGAGACAUAAGUAAUGAAUGAGUUUAGAAACAUGCACAACUCUUGUGUGAAACACAAUGAGAGUGGAAAAUAGCUAAGUUGAAAAAUGGCCAAAUACUAUUUUGUAGUUCCCCCUACCACUUAAGUAAUUUUUGUCAUCCUUUGUGAAUGGAAAAUCCAGUCCCUUCAGUAAUUCCGUUAUAUUCAUGACUUGGUGAAGCAUAUAACCAUUAGUGUCUUGCCUUAAGUCGACCUUUAAUGAUGAUCCAUUGAGAUGGGUCUGACUUUUGUCAACCCUCUUAUUCCCUUGAUCAUAGAGGUUAAACUUAGGGGGCUUAACCCACUUUUGAACCUUAUUGGAUAUAUGGCACAUGGUAUCCUCUUCAUCUUGAAAGAGUGAAGUGGUCAUACUCUUUCCUCUGAGUCCAUUGUGGCCAUGCACUUCUGGCCCAUUGGGCUGAGUGAAAGGAUUCCCUUCUGCUUCAAAUCAUAGAGAGAUAUGCCAUGGUCAGCCUCUUUAAUUCAAGGGAUCGAAGUACUCAAAUCCAUUUCUCUGCAUCCAUCUUAAUUCUGCAUUCAUGUCUCAUGGUUAACCAAGAAGAUCCAGCUUCCAUCCAUGAGAUCAGCAUCUGCAGGUUUAUGACACCACCCUUCCUUGGCAUAGGAAAGGGAUCAUUAAGCCAUGUGUUGGAUGACAGAAGUCAUCAUUCAGGUUAUCUUGAGAACUAAGGAAGUUGGAAUUCUAAUUAUUGCAUAUGGUUCUUGAUGUUUAGCCAAUAUACCGUAGGAUUUUAAGGAUCAUGCUCAUGUGCAUUGUGGUUGUUUAUCAGCUAUAUGGUUUACCAAAAUGAGGGACUGAUUAUGGUCAUAAGUACCUUUUUCCUAUUAAUUUCUUGCAUGUGCUCUGCUGAGAUUAUGUUUUUGACAGUCCAAAUCAGGGCAAACCAACAAACAGCUUUAUGUUAACUUUUACAAACUGCCACAUUUUCAGGUUAAACGAACAGAGAUAAAUCUUGGUGAAACUAGAAGUAAUACAACUUGUGCUGUGGAGAUAAAAGAAAGGGCAGCGGCACUGGUGGCUGCAGAAAUUGAGGCAUGUAGAGACGAUAGAACCCCCAAGAUACCUCUUCAUGAGAAAGUCCAGAAAGAGUGGGCUUGUGCUGUAUGCCAGGUCACAACCCAAAGUGAAGCGACCUUCAAUUCCCACCUUCAAGGGAAGAGACAUCAGGCCACUUCUGAGCAGCUGAGAGCCAAAAACCAGGCAACCAAAACCAAUUGUUCCCCAUCUGCUUCAAUGGCCAAGAAAUCUGAUCAGUCCACCAAAGAGGAGCAACCGAAGUGUACUUCCAACAAUCUGAAUUCCAAAAACAAUGGAAUCUCAGCUGCUUCAACAGUGAAGAAACCUGAUGACACCAAAGAUGAUGAGCGACAAAAGUCUGCAUCUAGCAAUGAACCGAACCAGAAGAAUAACAAAAAGCAAGAGGUACAGACCAAUGAGCAAGGCCAUCAGAAGAACUUAAAGCAAACUGGCGAUGGAAUGAAAGAGUUGAGAUUAUGCUGCAAUAUCUGUAAUGUAAGCUGCACAAGUGAGCUUGACAUGGCCUCUCAUCUCAAUGGAUGGAGGCACUUUAAUAUGAUAAAGGAGGCGUCUGAAUUAUGGUGCAGUAACUGCAAUGUAAGGUGCAACAGUGAGGCUGUCAUGGCCUCUCACCGAAAUGGGAGGAGGCACUUGAAGCAGCUGAAGGAACGGUCGGGAUUAUAGUGCAGUAUCUGUAGCGUGAGAUUGUGUUAGGAAGAGGUGGAAUGGGUUCCAAUCAGGAAUUAAGACUCGGUUCCAAGACAUGGAAAGUGUCUUUAGAUUAUGUUAUCUCCAUUUUUUUUAUUGUGAGAGGGGAGUAUAAGGAAUGAAAAUAAAUAUAUAUAUAUUUUUUAAUAGAGAUGAAUUUGAUAAUUUUAAUUAUUGUGUUUUGAUGUAUUUAGGAAUGUAAAAUUAAAAUAAUUAUUUAUUUUCAUUUUAGUAUUUGACAAUAAUAAAAUUAUGAAUUAAAAAAUAAUGUGAUAAUAAUACAUUUAUAUUUAAUUUAAAAUAUUUUUUAUUUUAUUUUAGAAGAAUAUGGGUUAAAUUCUUUUUUUAAAUAAUAAGCUUAAGAAAAAUAAUUUUUACUCAAUAAAUAAAAUUAAUCAUAAAAAGUCAUAACAACCUAAUAAAAAUAUAGGGGUAAAAUAAUAAUUUUAAAAUAUUAUUUAAGUUAUCCAAACAAAUUUGACUCUUCAUUCUCUCUCUUGAACCAAAUACGGUCUUUUAAGCGUUUGUCAACUUAUUUUUUUUUGCAAAAUAUCAAUAUUUUACUAAUAUUUUUAUCGAUUAUUUGCCAAUAUUUAUCGCCACGUCACCAAUUCUUUGAGUUUGACUUUCAAAAUUUUGAAAUGAUAUUUGAAGUCCAGUUCAGCCCAAAUCACUACACCCAUGAUUUUUCCCUUUUCUUUUUCUCCUUAAUUUUCACAUCACCCAACAACACUACUCUUAAUUCACACAAAUUUGAAGGUUUGGAACGAGACUUCUUCCUAAUUAUAUUGUAAUUAUGUUAUAAUAACCAUGUCGUAUUUGGAUUUAUUUAUUCAGUCCAUCUAAAUCUUUUGUUUAUUCAUGUAAAAAGAAUAUAGUUAUAAUCGAAUCCAUUUGUGACAUAUUCAUCUUUUAUAAAUUUAUUAAUUUUAUAUAUUUAAAAACUAUAAAAAUUAAAUAUAUUUUUUCAAUUAUGAAUAUCAUAUUACUAAAAUAUUAAAUAACUAAUUAACUUGAAAUGUUUUAUAUUUCAUUCAUUAUUUUAUAAUUACAACAUUAAGUGAAAUAAUAAAUAGGUUAAAAUAUAUAUUUUAUUUUAGUUAAAAAUUAUAAAUUGUUAUUGAGACGUAUAACUAUUAAAAUUCUACCCAUUUGACCAUCAAACAAACAACUUAAGUUUUUAGUCAUAAUUUAAGCUUCUGAUAAACUCUAUUUCCAUAAAUUAGAAACCGAAAUCAAUUUCUUCUUAGACUCAAAAACAUAAAGACAAUCUUUUAAUUCUAGAAGACAUCUAUCAUUUAAGAUAAGGGUAACAUAUCCCAUUGCCUAAACAACAACUCUUGCUUCAAAAGCCAAUGUCAAGUACAUAUCCCUAUCAUUCAACCUUUCCCUUAGCUAAAACCCCUAUAAAGAAUUAUAAACAUAAUCAAUGGCUCCAAAAUUUAUCCACCAAGAGUUAGUGGAAUCCAACACUAAACAUAAUUCAACUAUAAGAGAAUGAUGCAUAGUUGACUAUCUCUUCAAGAACUAAGGACAUUCCUUCUUCUUCUAAUGGCAUUUUUUACCACAAAGGAAACACUUGUCAUGACCCUUACUCUUCUUCUUCUUCCCCUUAGCCUUAAACUUCCCCUUCUGCUUGAUGAACUCUAUAGUGUUCUUCUUAUUUUGGCUAGAAAAACCUAAAGAACCCUUAACUGCCAUAUAAAUACCUCUCUGGUCCUUGAGAAUUCCCUCAGUCAUUUUGUGUUCUCUCAUUAGUUCAAUUGUAGUUUAAGAAAAAUAAUGUUUUUUAUUUUAUUUUAUGUGAUUGAACUUGGAAUGAAUUUCCAAGUUGCAUACAUACUUGGGUUGAGAUCAAGUCAUAACGUAGUUUAAGAAAAAGAUUUUUUAUUUUUUAUGUGAUUGAACUUGGAAUGAAUCUCUAAGCUACCUACGUAUCCAAGAUGGGAUCAAGUUCUAACAUAGUCACAAUGCAGUUCAAGAUUUUUUUUUUUCUUUUUUUGUGCUCUAACUUUUGUCAAGACUAAAGAUCUUAAUCUUGCAAGCAUGUCCUAACUUUUGUCUAGGUCACCUUUCCAAGUUUUCAACUUAGCAAACAUUUUUUUUUUUUGUUCUCUAACGUUUGCCAAGACAAAAGAUUUUAAUCUUGCAAGCAUGUCAUAACUUUUACCUAAGUCAGAUUUUUAGGUUUUCAAUGUGGUGGAUUUUUUUGUUUUUUAUUUUUUAUUUUUUAUUUUUUGUGUCGUAGGCAAUUUAGCUCAUACGGCCCAGAAGCGAUGUGUAGUUUGUUGGGAUUCAACCCUUAAAAGCAAAACAUGAUGUAACAAAGUUAGACUUAACUAUCCCCUUGCUAUCAUUUUGGUGUAUUAACAUUGAUUUAAACAUUCAACUCAUAUUUUACAUUGUACAUGACUUAGGUGCAUUAGGAGUUGCUCAUAAGAUACAUGGAUUCCUUGUAAGUAGAUGAGUUAUCCAUAGUCAGUUCAUGGAUUUGGGCAAUCUAGUAGAGACUGUAAUGCACCACCUCUUAAUUGAAGAGAUGACUUGUCUUGACAGUUGGGAUAGGUUUCCUAUGGUGAGUGCACUAGUAUAUAUGAUGCACAUUGGAUAGGACCUACGGUAAAUCAUGAGCAAAGCUAUCAAUUGUCAUGAUUCACCAAGUUACGAUACUGCAUGGACUCUCAAUCUUGAGAGGACAUUGAACCUGUGCCAAAAUCAACAAAAAGCUUUCACCUAUAGAUGAGACCUUAAAGUGAUCAUAUAUCCCUAUGGAUUGAGUCACUAUUGAUGAAGGUUGGUGGUAAUAGGUAUUCUCAAUAGAGGCACCAUGAUAUCUCAUGAGAUUGAGACGGUGUGUCCCCUUGGGUGAUACAAAGGACAUGUGAUCAUAAAAUCUGUGACCAUAGUAAUUCUUUUAUUGAAAUUUGACAUAUACCCCUUCGAGCUAGAGUAUGUCAGUUGAUUACAUAAUAAGUGGCAUCUAUAACUUAAGGAUUUGAGAGGUAAUCUUGAUAGGUGAUAGCACUACCUUGUUAGAUUAUGGACACCAGUUCAUGGGGAAUCUACAUGCAGUGGAUGAUAUGUCACGAACGCGAGCUUCAUAUCGUUGUUAUUAACAUAGGAUACUGGAGUGCAAUUGAUUCUCUUUAGUAGAAUGUUGAAUCAACUUCAAAAUGGAUUAUGAGGGAGCCAAUACUCCUAUGGGUCUUAAUGGUCCCCACUCUGAGCUCAUAUACCAUGAUGACACAGUUUAUGAGGGUUUGAUUGGCUUUAUGUUCAUUUUUGUGCAUAAGGGCAUUUUGGUAAUUACACAAGGUUACAUAGGGGAUAGUCAAUAAGGUCUUUAGAUUGGGCCAAUUGAUUAAUUAGAUGACCUUAUGUGGUUAAUUAAUCAAUUAUGAUAUGUUUAGGCUAGAUUAAAUGACCCAAGCCUUGAUGAAUUUAAGUCACUUAAGCCUAGCAGAUAACCUUAUAAAUACCCUCUUAUGGGUUAGGGUUUCCUAAUGACUUUCAGUUAAUCAUCUUCCAUCCCUAGAAAGAGAAAGAGAGCCAAAUCUUUCUCCCUUCCAUUGCCCACACUUUGGUAUGCCAAGAUCAUGGUUCAAGUCACUGGGAGGAAGAUCUUGGGUGUACAAGACCUUCGGACUCUUUAAGUUUCUUCUUCGUUGGAUGAAUUUUUAUUUGGGACACAUCUAGAUCAUAAGUAUGUGUUAGAAAAUUUGGCUAAUUCAACUUAAGGUAAUCACUCUAGAGGAGGGGUGAAUAGGGUGAUGAUCUUUUUUUACAAAUUUAAAUUAUGUGAAUGCAAGAGACAAUUAUACUAUGCAAAUAUAUAGUAAAACCAUAUAAAAAUAAUUGCAUAUAAAGUACAAGGGUAGAAAAUAGAGAAUAUAAACACAAGAUUUUUAUAGUGGUUUGGUGCAACUCGGCCUACAUCCAUUCUCCUCUAGCUUCAAUCCCAAGUUUGAGGUUCCACUAAUUCAAGGCUUCCAACCUAACCCUUCAAGCAAUACAAUUGGAUUAUGGUUCCAAUCAAACCUUUUGGACUUUUGGCUCUAAGCACCUUUUACAAUCUUUGAUUCGUGCCUAACUGGUGUUUGCCCUGUUGAUUGGUGUUCAAUCAACUGAUGUGCUUUGAUUUCAGUCCUCAGACGAGAGUAAUCAACAAAAUUUAUAAACCUAUUUCACCAUAUACUAGGGUAGCAUUAGCUAGCAUAGCAUAGUGGCUCUAGGAUCGUCCACAGGGAUGGGUUUUCAAAUUACAAUUGAUAUUAGUUCAAAAACUGAAUUGGUGUUUUUUCUUUUCAAGGUUAGCUUUAAAAGAAAACAUAAGUAUGUGUGAAAAGGUUGGUUUUAAGUGAAACCAAAAAUAAAGUAACUGAAAUUACUUACAAAGAAAAGUGCUUCUUGGAGUUUUAGAUCACUAGGCUCAAGUUCCUUAUACAAAAAGAGAGAUUCCGAUCACUUGGAUCUUUUCCUAGCAUUGGGGAUUUAACAUAUAGUUAUUUCCCGAACCGGUGCGGUACAGAUGCUUCCCCUUAAUGGUUUCAAACACUAAAUCUCUAUCACUGAAUCAUCUUGUAAUGGUUCAUACCUCUCACCUGGUAUUGGUCAUUUAAGGUGAUCAUUAACCUUGGAUUACCCGUCAAAAGCUCGCAAAAGAUAACUAAUGAAUGUCUCCUAGGAGUCCAAAAGCUUACCAAGUGUUGGCUAUUCUAGAUAAUCCUACCUUUAAACCAUCUCCCAAAAGCUCGCAAGAGAUAAACUAGUGGAUCUCAAUGGACGGAGUCCACUUGCCUUACCAAGUGUUGGCCCAAGUGAUUUUAAGGGAUUUUAAGUUAACUAAAAAGAUAAAAACCAUUAACGGGUCACACUUUCUCUUCAUUAAAACCUGAAACAAUGAAACUUCCACUUUUGUAUACGAAACCUUACCUAGCUUCCUUCACUCCAAGAAACAAAAAGCCUAGCCACUCAUCCUCUAGGAAAACAUCCUCAGAGUUUGAUUUGGUAGAAAUAAAAAUAAAAGAGAAAACCAAAUGUGAAGGUAAGGCCGAGCAGAGCUCUGUGUAUUACUUUAUGAAAAACUAUACAAAAUUUGUCUCUAAGAGAAACUCCCCCGAGAUCUCUUUUAAAAGAAAAUUACAAUAGAUAUCAUAUAAAGAGGCUAUUCACCCCUCUUGCUAACUUCCCAACCAUGAAAACUUGUCAAUGGUGGGUUACAAGGAGAAAAUAGGGAUUUACACACAAAUAUUUGAAGAUAAACAUCAAACUGAGUCGGUGCGCAAAUAUCUCAGAUUACAAGUGGAUUUCGCAAGUUCAAACGCAACUUGCAAAAAUUUUGCAAGUUGAAAUUAUGGUUUCGCAAGUUGCGAAAUUGUCCUGCAACUAAUCAGCUCUCUGUCCUACAACAAUUCCUUUCCUCUUCCUAUUUCGCAAGUUGUGAGAAUUUCGCAAGUUGGAUUCCACAACUUGCAAAAUUGUUGGAUGGUUGAUUUCUUUUGUGAUUUUCUUCCUUGCAUCCUCAUUUGGCUUUGGCAAAGGGUUAUGAAGCUCCAAAGCUUAGUUUCUUCAUGAAUUUGAGCUUCAACUUGCUUUGCCAUGAACUAUACAAAGAUCUCCCUCAUUCUUGGAUUGCUUUGGUGAUAAAAAAGCUAUGAAAAACACCAAAACUUAACACAAUUUGAUUAGAAACGAUUGUAAGGGUCUUUAACAUGCCAAUUGAGUUAAAAGGUAAUAGCUACUACUCAAAAGUGUUUAAAAGAGUUAAUUACAAGCUAUAAAAUGACCCUUUUUGAAGUUCAACCCCUUAAGUGAUACCCCUUAAGUGAUACCCCUUAAUUCAAGAGAUGUCUUACUCUUAAACAACCCCUUAAGUGAUACCCCAUACUUGAGAUUCCCUAAGUGAUGCCUCACACUUAGAUUUUUCAUCUCAAAGAUUUACAAAUGAAGAUAGGAAAUAAUCUCACAAAAUCUUAAUACAAAACAUUAGGCUCAAAUGAUACAAGAUAAACUAUGAUUGAAUGGUGCACUAAUAAUAUGCAAGUUUUAAAACAAUGAGUACUAAAAAACACUCUCCUAAGGUUCAAAUAUAUUCAAGAAAGAUUUAAGAAGGUUAAACUCUUGAAACAAUAAAGAUUGAAACCUUUUUAUGGAGGAGAAAUGCCAAACUAGUUGUUGGGGGUUUGUCCAGUCGAGUUCUGGUUUGACCGGUUCACUAACCGUUAGCAUUUAAUGCAUGAUAGGUGAUCAUUGGGCCUUGACCAUCCCUCGACCAGUACUCAACCGGAUAAAGUUCAACCUUAAUCAAUCGAAUAAGCAUUCUAGAAUAGAGAGAAGGUUUUUGCACCUUUCAAUCAGUUGAGUUGAACAAAUAGACGGAUUCCUUAUCCAGUUCAACCGGUUGAGCCAUUUUUGGCUCAACAAUCAUCAUUUUCAACUUAAAACCUUUUAAACAAGUUUAGAAAGCAUUUGACACAAGGAUUUAGUUGAAAACAUUAAAUCAUCCUAUUUUUAAAAGAUUUAAAACAAAAUACCUCUUGAAUGAUUUUGGUGUAUAAGUAAAUAAUGUAAUGCAUGAAAAACCCAGUGCGCCAACAACCUUACAAAGAGAUCUUAUGAGGCUUAGGUAUUGAAAAACACUUCUCUUUAAGGCAGACAACAUCGUGUGAAUACCAAAGGGGAACUCUACGUUCCUAGGGAAAGAUGCCUCGUCAGUACGUCUUGAGGUUGUUCACUAACUUCGGGGUUACCGGCUUUGAGAGGAGCCCUUUGAUGACAUUUGGGCAUGCAACUCUUCAUUUUCUUCCUUGAUUCGCCUUGUUUGGUGGAUCAAAGAUUGCAUAUGCCAGUCAUUUUUGCACUAGGUUCUCUCCAUGCUUUCACGCCAGCCAAAGUAGCUUUCGUUACCCAUAGUUGAGGAUCGGCUUCUAAAGGGUACUAACAUCCUUAGUCAUUCCCACAGAUGACACCAAUGUUGGUUCUGAGUCGGCUGAAGUCAAAUUCAUCCAACUUAACGGAAGUUUGACAACCUUCCUCCAUUUUUUGUGCCUCUUAGAGAAUCCACCUAGCAGUAAUGAGAUUGGGCGAACUCCUUUCUUGCACAAAAGAAUGUUCAGAUGAGUACUUCGGGUACGCCCUUCGAAGCUUAAGUGAGGCAAAAAUAGCUCAAACUACUUAAUGAGAGAGAGUGGAUAGGUGAAUAUGUGCCUACCUUGUUCGUGCUUUUUGAGGGGUUUAUAUAAUGUUGAUGAGAAUGCCACUAUAGUGCUUACUAGACACUUUAACUUUCUUCUAUAAUGAUGAUUGUCUUGCAGGCGGUUGGGCAAUCAUCAAAAUUUUGGGUGGCUGAUAGGUGCCAUCAACUAACGUGCCAUGAUCUUAGACCAUGCAGUAACCUGUUCCCUCAGUCUGUUGAUGGCCUAAGGUUAUGUGCAACAAUUAAUUGACAUGGACUUGAGGGCUAGAAGAGGUCCCAUCGGCCGUUCACAUGUCAAGUGUGAAUGAUCACUCAUGCUAGUGGGUCUUGAAGAUUUGACUAGACAACCUUACCUAUUUGGGAGGUCCAACCUCCCAUUGCCGUUGUUUUGGCCUUAUAGGAGAAAAGGGCUUUCUCAUGUAUGGUGCUAGAGGGACUAGUCGUGAUCCAGAUGAGUUGCAUACCCAUGCUAGAUGGUCGAAGUGUCCGGGUUGGAAAUGGAGGGAAGCCUCCCACAAAUAUGAGGGAGCCUUAUGAAAACGGAUCCUUAGGGCUUAAGAAGGGGUUUUCAAUUUUAAGGUUUGCCUUUUCACCCAAGGAUGUGAAUGGGAAGAUGAGGCGAAGUUAAAAGAUUGGUGAAGCAAAGUGAGGGCAAGGUAGGGUUUGAAUAAAGGAAAGUAUACACUAUUAAUGAAGAUGAUAAUCUCUAGAAAGAAAAACUAAGGUAAACUAGGGCUUUAAUAAUAAUUUUCAAUCUACACUAGUGAAGAGGAUAUCUUCGAAAACCAAAGUUAGGGCUUCAAUAACGAAUUUCAAUCUACAAUGGUGAAGACAAUAAUCUUCGAAAACCAAAUCUAUAAUGAUGAAGAUGAUUGAAAACUAAAUCUAUACUAGUGAAGACGAUUGGAAAGCAAAUCUACACUGGUGAAGACAAUGAAACCAAAUGUAGGUCUUCUAAACUAAACGCUUUUAAGGAUUUUCCUUUUUUUUUUCCUUUGUUUUCAAGAAAGGCAAACUCUUUAGAAAACUAAAAAAACUAAUGCAUUCUUAGAUCCAGAUCACUAUUUCCAACAUGGUAUUUGGAUUGCCAGCUUGCAUUUUUUAUUUUUUUAUUUUUUUAAUAGUCAUUGGCAUUUUAGGGAUUAUUGAAGGAUAAUAUCAUUCAGCUCAAUUUCCCAAAUUAGUUAGGUCUUACACUCAAAUGUGAAACUUAUAUGGAUGUUAGGCCAAUUAUCAAACUCAUCUGCCCUAAAACAUAAUUUCCCUUUUUUAAAAUAGUUGUUAAACAUCUAUCCCAAACACGUUUAACCCUUUGAAUUGCUUGUAUGUUAACCUUGUUUCCUUUUCUUCAUGCAACAUGGCUUAUUGAUGGUUGCAUUGAAUCAUUAUCAUUCACCAAUUCCAUGCAACUAUGGACUACAUUUCAAAUCCCUCGAACAUAAAUGGUAAUUCCAAAACAACUCAAGUAUAAUCUUUUCAACCCUUUCAAAUGAUUUAAUUAAUUGAUUUUUGAAUAUAUUCAUAUAUUUUUUUGAGCAAUUUUUAGGCAUAUAACAUAAAUCUCUUUUUUAUAUAUAUAUAAAAGGUUUUAUAUUUUAUAUUACAAUUUCCUUUUGUUUUUUCAUCUAAAAAACAAAACAUAAAACCUUAAUAAACGAGUUUUGUCACAAUCCCUUAACAAGUAAUCUAUUUUUUAAAUUACUUUAACAUUUUUAGAUAUAUUGAUUCAAUCUAAUUUACUUUUAAUAUUUUUUAUAAAAUAUUUUUACUUUAUAUGACUAUAAAUUAAUUACUAUUGAUUGCAUAUUAUAGAAUAUAUAUUCUAAAAUAUAUCUUAUUGACAAUAUAAUCAUAAGAUGUUAUAUCCAUAUCCUAACAUAUUAUAUACUUUUAUUUUGUGCAAUUAGCAACAUGGUGGGAAGUGGCAAGCAGCUUAACGGAAAUGUCAUGUGCCAAUGUGCCAUGCGUGUCCCUUCCCUUAGUGAGUCUGAACUGCUCCAACAUUUCCGACAUGUUAUUUUUUACUUAGCUCUUAAGUAUUUUCGUCUCGUUUUCGUUAACCCCAUCACAUUUCGCCACAUGGAUCUAAGCCUCAUGGUCCUUUCGUUCGUACAAUGAAUGUUCCCCCAAUUCCUUAUCUACACUAAAACUCCAUACUCGCCAUCUACUCAACCACUUCUCUACUCUAGAGUUUGGGUCCUUUAUCUCUGCACGUGUCUAUGGCUUUUCACCCCAACAAGUAUGGCAUUACAAGGGCAAUAUCGUCAUUAAAGACCCAAAAGGGAAACCAAUGGCAUUAUCUUCCUUUUGGUCUAUUCUAUUUAUAUUGUAAGUUAUUCGUGAUGACUUCUCCCAUAAAAGCUAAAAACCACUCCAAUAGAGCACACUUCACUUCUUCAUUUUUUUUUUUCCAGAUAAGCUCAGAAAGCCCAGCUCAUCCCUCAACUCCCCGAUGGGUUUGAUGAAUGUUCUUAAAUUCUCAACUGCAUGCUUUGAUCUUCUUAUCUGGUAUAUUGUCCACGCAUUUUCUUGUCAUUGGAAAAUUUUGGAAAAUGAAAUGGAAUUCUAUGUUUGAUGACAAAACUGGGAUUUGCUUUGAUUUCUCCAUGUUGGUUUUAUCCCUUUUGUUUGAAUUGUCCACAUUCUUGUCAUUGGUUGUUAGUUAUUUGUUUGGAUUUCUACUUGUAGGCCUCUGUUUGCACUGGGUUAUCCUCUAUAAAUCUUGGUCUUACACACCAAGAUAUGAUGAUUCAUUUACUCUUUUCUUGUUCUAUGAAUUCUUAGUUCUGUUACAUUUAUUGGGUUGGAAAACUGAAAAAGGAAAGGAUUAUUCGUUAUUAUCAUAAUAAUCAUCAACGUCAUCUCAAUUAUUCACAGAUGUGCAUCAAUUCAGGUAAUUGAGACUAACUCGAUCUCAGACAUUCAGAAGUUGGUGGCAUAUUGGGUUCUAUUUUCCUUGAUUUCACUUUUUGAUCGUACUUUUUCCAAGCUCCUUGAAUGGUAAUUUUGUUCAACUUCAUUCCAUCAUAUGUGGCUCUAUUUGUUUCAUUUCUUUGCCCUUCAGGAAUUUGGAGUUGCCUUUUUUAGUUUUCUUCCCUGUGAAAAUAAUCGAGAUGUUUAAUGUUCCAAGCCUCCAUGUAUUUUAUUUUCCUUCAUUUCUCUGCUUUGAUAAAUCCCCAUGAUUUGAUCAGCAAAAAGGCUAUAACAUUUGACAAAGAAAUGCUUUAUUUUGGUUUUUUAAGUACAACAAUUUUCAUUUGGAGAAAUGGUCUAAAGGGUAUCGGUGUUUGGAUGAAUCAUGGAAUUUUCUCGCUAAUUUGGGAUUUAUUCUCAAUUUCAAUAUCAUUGUGGAUAUUUCAAAAAUUAAUGAAAUAUAUAUGAUGGAAUGUGAUUUUCUUGUUUAAGAAAAGUUUUUCUUUAAAAAUUUAGGUAACCCUGACCUACCUUAUUGUGCUACUCGAAACACAAAACAAAAGUACAAGUAAUUUAGUAACUAAAUUGCACACUUUUUGAUAGUUCAAGGAAGUGGUGUUAGCUUUGGAAAUAAGAUGGAUCUACUAGUUUUUAUUUCUCAUCUUUAUAGGGAACUUUCCAUAAUAUAGCUUAUAAAUACCAUAAUCACAGUGAUGAAUAAUUGUCUUGUUUGAAAGCAUGGUUGCACUUAUUUGCAUGGAAUUUGUCUGCGUUGAAAUUAAAUUAAGCUUUAUGCAUCAUUUGGAUGCUGAGAAACAAAUGAAAAUAGAAAAUUCAAAAUUUGACAAGUUUGUGUAGGGAAAUUGGAUCUAAUCUCUUAAUCGAAGCUUAAUUAGGGCAAAUGUUGAUCCUCUUUGGACCUAUUGAAAGCUCUAAUCUGUGCACAAUUCUAAUGUUUUUGUUUCCUUAAUUUCUUUUUCAACUUUUCAACAAAGCAUCAAUUUGCUAUAAUAAAUGAGAACCAACUUGACGAUGAGAAAAAUGACUGGUGAUGAUGUCAUAGAGAAUCGCAGAUGAGAACAACCAAAAAUACUAGGAUUGGUACCACUGAUGGUAAUGAAGAAAACACAAAAAUGGUGCAAAUGGUGAACAGGAAACUCAAAAUGGAAUGGGAAAAGAAACCUAAACAAUAGUCUCCUAUAUAAAGCACACAACAUGUACAUCGAGGCAUCUGAAAGGACACGCUGCCUGAGAAGUCACUCUAAUUGAUGUGACUCCUCAUGACGUGGGUGGUGGACAUAUGUCCCAUGGUGCCAAAAAUUUCAAACACUCAAGCAACCGAAUACUUUCACUUAGUCAUUUAAAGCCUAGCUAGACUCAAUUGCAAGAAUUAAGGGCAUUGUGGGAUGCUCACCACCGUCUAUCAUGGUCCUCAAACACUGUCUGGUGUGAGACAUAUUGGCACAAGAGCCAUGUAGCUUCUCUAUCCACCCCAAGAUACUCCUAGGGUAGCAAACGAACACAAUCCGACCAAACACUAUGCAUUCCUACCCUACAAGCAUUAAUUUCAAUGAGCAAUAAGUGUAUUAACACAUUAAUGAAUGCAACCGUUAUAACGCUAAAACGCCAUACUUUAAGGUUCAUCAAGACACAACAACCAUUAUGGGCCGACAAUUAUUGGCGUUAAAUAUGGUAAUGCGCAAUCAAAGGCUCAAUUAAGGCCCUUUAGAAGACGUUACUAUUGGGCAAAGAUAAAUAACCAUUUUUUACCACAAGAAAGUCUGAUGCCAUUUUUUUCACAAAAACUUUUGCUUAAGUCUUCCAUCUCUAACCUAAGCUUUGAAGGGGUGUACUUGGAAAACCUAUCCGAACAUUCCUUUAUGUAGGUGCAAUCAUCGUUUAUGUCACGCGAAGGCUAGUCAAAGACCUUUAUUGGUCGUGCACCAAUAAAUCUAUUUAGUAUAUCUCAUUUAUCCGUUCAAGUGAGAUGAAGGAGUGACCUAAAGAUAGAUUGGAAACAUCAUAGUUUCUUAUAUUGGUAAGGCAGCAACAACCUCGGCUAGUGCAUCAACCUGCUCGUUUUCCUCUAGGGGUACGCGUUUGAUAAACCAUUCAUUCAAUUUUUCUGUUCAAGUGUACCAAAGAGAGGUAAUGAGCCAUGCAUUCAUCUCAAGCUUCAUAUUUUAGUUAGAUUUGUUCACCCACUAGUUGUGAAUUGCUUUUGAUUUCUACUUUCAUGGUUGUGAGAGCUAAGGCUAGAUCGUCUCAUAAGAAUUGCUUCAUAUUUUGCCUCAAUAUUAGAUACUGGAAAGUUGAGACAGACGACUUGUUCAAUUUGCUCUCCUGUAAGGAAUUGUUGUGUUAGUCCUAUCCUAGCUUCUGAUGUUCUAGAGGCUUCGUCUACAUGGAGAACACGCCAUUGUUCUUCAUUGUUAGACCUUGUCCAUUUUUGGGGUGGUUCGACUAUGAAAUCAAUGAGAACUUGCUAUUUGAGAUACUAAUGAGGUUUGUACCGUAUGUAAUAUUCACUCAAUUUGAUUGCCCAAUUCACCAUUCGACUAGAUAGAUUUAGCUUGUGCAACGUGACCCACAACGGUUGAUUUGUCAAGACCGUUAUUUGGUGCGCCUGAAAAUAUGGACAAAGCUUCUUGGCAGCGAUCCGUAAGUUCAGAGCCAUUUGUUCCACUUAAGAAUAUCGUGUUUUUGUGUCAAUCAUAGCUUUUCUCACAUAGUAAAUAAGUCUUUGUUCAUUACUCUAAUUGUGUGGAAACAAUAUGACAUUGACAGCAAAGUUUGACACAACCAGGUACAUGUAUAACUCUUCUCUAGCUUCAAGACUACUUAAGAUUGGUGGCUUCGUAAGAUACUGUUUGAUGUCUUUAAAGGCAUGCUCACACUCAUCCAUCUAACUAGACAUCUUUGCUCCCUAGAGUUUGCUCAAGAAAGGUCUGAGCUUAUUUAUGAAGCGUGUUAUGAACCAACCUAAGGUGAUUAGACACCCAGUUAGACGUUGCACUUCCUUCUUGCUAGUAGGAGCAGGGAUUUCUAACACUACUUUCACUUGAGCCAGAUCGACUUCAAUACCCCCUUUGAGUCACCAUGAACACAAGAAACUUCCACUCACUUACUCUAAAUGCAUAUUUUAUUGGAUUAAGCUUCAUGUCAUACCUGCACAUUAAACUGAAUGCUUCUUCCAAAUGGAGGAGCUUCUUGGAACGAGUUAUUCUCUUAAUGACAAUGUCAUCGAUAUAGACUUCCAACGUUCGACCUAUCAAGGGCUUAAAAAUAUGGGUCAUCAACUGUUGGUACGUAGCUCCAAUGUUCAUUAACCCAAGCGACAUGAUCUUGUAAAAGUACAACUCCUUAUGUGUAAUAAAUGUCAUCUUCUCUUUGUCAUGUGGAAACAUUGGUAUCUGGUGGUAUCCAAAAGAAGCAUCAAGAAAAGACAACAUUCCAUGCCUGGUUGUGGCAUCGACUAUCUAAUCUAUCUAGAGCAAUGGGAAGCUAUCUUUCAAGCAGACUUCAUUCAUAUCCACGUAGUCUGCGCACACCUGCCAUUUUUCUCCUUUCUUGGUACCACUACCACAUUUGUUAACUAGUCCAAGUAGGUCACCUCCUUGAUAAAUCUUCCUUUUAAUAGCUUCUCAACUUCUAUCUAGAUAAUUUUUUGAUGAUCCAACUAGAAACGUCAGACUUUAUAUUGUAUGGGUCGUGCUGUAGGAAGAAGGUUCAACUUAUGAGAGCUCACCGCUAGGUCUAUUCCAAGCAUUUCCGAAUGAAUCCACACGAGGAUAUCCUUGUUUUUACAAAGCAUUUCACCAACAUUACCACAUUCAUCCCUAGUUAGCAAAAAAUUAGCGUAAGUCAUCUGCUUAUUAUUUUUCGACAAAGAUAGCUAUUGUAAUAGGCUGAUUGCCAAUGAGUCUCUAUCCUCUAGUUUUCCUUCGACCUAAUUCUAUAAUUGUUAUUAGCUCUCUCUUGAUGAUUUGAGUUCAUCUUUAGUUGGGCCUGAACUCCAUCGCCACUUAGUAACACUACUAGGUGGCUAAUUGGAUUCCAUGUGGAUCCACUUACCCAAAUUCUGUCAGGUAGCUCACCAUCUUAUGAUAGGUGGAUGGAAUAACUUUCAUCUUAUGUAGGUACGACAACCUUAUGAUGGUGUUGUACGACGGUAAAUCCUCUACUAUAGAAAAUCAUACGUUGAGAGUAGGCGGGUUGGCUUGGACAAGAAGUACCACGUCGCAUAGUGAUAUUGUGGCAACCCUAUUAAACCCAAACAAAAGUCGAACUAGAUUUUCUAAGGCAGAUGACGAACAUCCCAUUUUCCUGUAGGUUGACAUAUGCAAUAAAUUGGAAUGAUCAUUUUAGGAAGGAUCACUUGAUUAAUGUUAAUUGAAGGGAAAGUGAUUGGGUCAUUGACUGGUCGGGCACUUUCGACAGUAAAUGUGCACUGAACUGCACUUACUCUUUCCCUCCCUGUAGUCGCACAGAGCAUUCGUCUCCUUUGUUGUUUGGAGUGAUAUUUGUCAUCUACUAUUUCCCCAUGGAUAUAGUUAAUCACUACUCGAUGUGUUGUGGGAGAGUCAGGAACUCACUCUGACACUUCACGUGUCAUUUCUUUAUGUCCACCAGUUGCUCAGACAUACAACUUGAGAUGUCCGGUAAUGAUUAGUUUCUCCACCAAGUAGUGCAAAUUUUUGCACUCUUCUGUGGUGUGCCCAUGCUCCUUAUGAUAGAAUCAUCGCAAUCCUCGAUCAUGCUUGGACGAAUCAGUUUUGAUGGGCUCUAGCCACUUGAACUCGAGCAGCUCUCAAAUCAAGAGGAGAAUUCUAUCAUAAAAAAUGGUCAACGGGGUGAGCCUAGGCGAUUAUCAUUGUUGUUGUCUUUCUUGUCCUUGAUUAGUCUAUCUAGACUGGCUUGAGGGCUUUAAGCUCUUAGCCUUCUUUUUUAAUUGCUCGGUUUAUAACCAGGAUUUGUUGAGAGGUUACCUAAACAUCCUCCUCAAGCAUGACAUGUUUGCCCACUCGUCUAAAUAGGUCAUUCAUUGUAGUGGGCAACUUUUUGGCCAUGGACUUGAAGAAUUGAGUGCUUGGACUGAUGAUCCAUUUGAAGAUCUGCAGGAUAGCAUCCAUGUUGUAAGAUUCCAUCUAGAACACCGCUUGUCUGAAUCACUUCAUGAAGUCCCUUAGCGAUUCAUUCUCCUACAUCUGAAUGUUCUAUAAGGUGCUUAUAUUCUGCUUUUGGCGAGCAAAACAUAAAUAAUGGCCCACAAAGGCCUCUAAAACAUCUGUCAUCUGUUGUUGGAAGUGCAUCAGGUGAACAAAAGAGUCACCAUCCCAUAGUAAAUAGUAAAUUUGGGCACCGGAAACCCCUGGGCAGCUCAUAACUAAUGAUAUGUGGGUCAAACGACAUGAAGAGCAUGUCAUCCAAUCAUCUACUUAUGGAGUCAAGAGGGGCUUUUGUCAAUGGGUUAUUUGUCGAUUGUAGUUCUAGUAUUGAACAUUAAGGCAGACGGCUUGGUGAUGCCUCAUCGUUUGAUUGGCCUAAUUGUGCUUUCAAGGCCUCCAAUAUGCAUGGCGAUGCUAGUGUUCUUCUCUCCUGAUACCCAAGAUAGGCUUUCAGGGCAUCUGAGAGACGUAAGCCCCAUUCUUAACCCAUUUUCCAUUUUUCUCCAAUAGAGCUUGCAACCUCUUUCGCUUGAGUUCGAUCGACUACUGAAUGCACUAGUUCAAGUAAUGUUAGCGAACUGCUAGUAGACAAUCCCUCAUCCACUGUUUGUAGAGACGACUUAGUGUAUCAUUGAAGAACUUUCAUUGUUUGGCUUCAAACUACUCUUGAAGUCGUCUAUUGGUUGGAGGUACGAUGACUUUUUUAUCAGCACCCCAUAGCCACUUGUGCUCGUAGCUCUUGGUUCUCUUGCUGUAGUUGUUCUGCCUGUUGGACAGGGACUACAUAGGUUAUUCAUAUUCUUCUUGCUUUUUUUCUAUCUUUCCUUGCCAAGCUUGGAAUCGCUCGUCAACAUUUGCAGAAUGAGUUGCAGGAGGCGUGUUAACCAUCGUGUUUUUUAGGCAUUUGUGGUUGAUUCCCAUAGACAAUGCCAAUGUUGGUGCACGACCAGUAAAAAAAGGUGUUUGGCUAGUCUCCAUGUAACAUAGAUGACGAUUGCACCUGCACAAAGGAAUGUCUGAAUGGGUUUUUCAGGUACACCUUUCCAAAGCUUAGGUCAGAAAUGGAAGACUUAAGCAAGAGUUUUUGUGGAAAAAUUGGUAGCAUACUUUUCUUGUGGUUAAGAAUAACUAUUUAUCUUUGUCCAACUAUAAUAUCUUCUCAGAUGCCUUAAUUGAGCCUUUGAUUGUGCAUUAUCAUCUUUAAUGUCAAUGAUAGCCAACCCAUAAUGGUUGUUGUGUCUUGAUGAACCUUAAAGGUUGGCGUUUUAACCUCAUAAUGAUUGCAUCCAUCAAUGCGUUAAUGCACUAAUUGCCUAUUGCAAUUAAUGCUUGUUGGGCAAGAAUGCAUAGUGCCCGAUUAGAUUGUGUUUGUUUGGUACCCUAAGAGUACCCUGGGGUGGACAAAAAAGCCACAUGGCUCUUGUUCUAACAUGUCUCGACUAGACAGUGUUUGAGGAUCAUGUUAGAUGGUGAUGAGCAUCCCACAGUGAAGACGUAUGAUGAAAGCAAAGGUAGGGCUUCUAAACCAAACGCUUUUAGGGAUUUUUUUUUUUUUUUCAACAAAGUUGACCUCUUCAAGGAAAAAAAAAAAGGUUAAAAAAACUAUUGCUUUUUUGGAUCCAAAUCACCAUUUCCAAUGUGAUAUUUGGAUUUCCACCAUGUAUUUUUUUUUUUUUUAACAGUCAAGGACAUUUUAUGGAUUAUUGAAAGAUAAUAUCUUUCAACUUAAUUUCCUACAUUAAUUAAGUCUUAGGCUCAAAUGUGAAACUUAAGUGGUUGUUAGGCCAUCAAACCCAUCUGCCCUAAAGUAUAAUUUCCCAUUUUCAAAAUAUAUAGUUGUUAAACAUCUAUCCCAAACUAUUGUAACCCUUUGAAGUGCUUGGUAUGUUAACCUUGUUUCCUUUUCCUUAUGCAACAUGGCUAAUUGAUUGUUGCAUUGAAUCAUUAUCAUUCACCAAAUCCAUUCAACUAUGGACUUACCUUUCAAAUCCCUCUAACAAAAAUGGUAAUUCCAAAACAACUCAAGUCUAAUGUUCUCAACUCUUUCAAAUGAUUUAAUUAAUUGGUGUUUGAAUAUACCUCUUAUAUUUUUUUAGAGCAAUUUUUAGGCACAUAACAUAAAUUUCUAAUUUUUUUUUAGAAAAGGUUUUAUAUUUUAUAUUUUAUAUUACAACUUCCCCUUUUUUUUCCAUCUAAAAAACAAAACAUAAAACCUUAAUAACCGAGUUUUGUCACAAACCCUUAACAAAUAAUCUAUUUUCCAAAAAUUACUUUAACAUCUUUAAACAUAUUGAUUUAGUAUACUUUACUUUUAAUAUUUUUUGAAAAAUAUUUUUAUUUUAUAUGAUUAUUAAUUAAUUAAGAUUGAUUGGGUAUGGUAGAAUAUAUAUUCCAAAAUACAUCGUAUUGAGAACAAUAUCACAAGAUAUUAUAUCCAUAUCUUAACAUAUUAUAUACUUUUAUUUUGUGCAAUUAGCAAUUGGACGGAAGGUAGGGAGCCGGCUUAAUGGAAAUGUCGCAUCUCACGUGUGUCCCUUCCCUUACCAAGUCUCAACAAAGGAUGAAAAUAUCGGUAAUCACGGAUAUAUCGGUACUUCGAUUUUACGGAUAUAUUAGAUAUAUCAGAGAUAUAUUGACGGAUAUUUUGGAAAAAAAUAUCGAUAAGCCUAAAAUUGAUCAAAAUUUAUAAAAAUAUAAAAAAAACUUCAUAAAAAUGUAAUUAAAAGAAGGUCGUAUAAGUUACUCAUGUUGAUCAUGUGAUAUAUCACGAGAUAUAAUCGAUUUUUGGGAAUUUCUCACGAAAAUAUCGCGACAUUUCUUCCUUGUCUCGACUGCUCCAAGAUUUCCUAUACGCCCUUCUUCGCUUAGCUCUUAAGUCUUUUCUUCUCCUCUUCCUCAAACCCAUCACAUUUCGCCGCGUGGAGCUAAGUCUCAAGGUCCUUUUGUUCGUACGAUGUAUGUUCCCCCAAUUCCUCAUCUACCUUGAAACUCCAUACUCGCCAUCUACUCAACCACUUCUCUACUCUAGAGUCUGGAUGCUUUAUCUCCGCGAGUGUCGAUGGCUCUUCACCCCAGCGAGUAUGGAAUUACAAGGGCAAUAUCGUCAUUAAAGACACAACAGGCAAACCAAUGGCAUUGUCUUCCUUUUGGUCUAUUUUAUUUAUGCUGUAAGUAUUCGUGCUUGACUUCUCCCGCGUCUCUUAUAAAAACUAAAGAAAACCACUCCAACAGAGCACACUUCAAGAAUCUUCUUUUUUUUUUUCUUUCCUCUUUCUCUUUACAUAUAUACUGAGAAAGCCCAGCUCAUCCCUCAAUUCCCAGAUGGGUUUUAUGAAUGUUCUCAAGUUCUCAGCUGCAUGCUUUGAUAUUCUUGCCUGGUAUGUUGUCCACGCAUUUUCUCGCCAUUGGAAAUUUUUGGAAAAUGAAGUGGAAUUCUCUGUUUGAGGACAAACAUGGGAUUUUCUUUGAUUUCUCCCUGUUGGUUUUAUCUAUAUUCUUUGGAUUACCCACAUUCUUGUCAUUGAUUGUUAGUCAUUUGUUUGGAUUUCUACUUGCAGGCCUCUAUUUGCACUGGGUUAUCCUCUGUAAGUCUUGGUCUUACACCUCAAGAUAUGAUGAUUCAUUUACUCUUUUCUUGUUCUACGAAUAGUUCAGUUACAUUUAUUGUGUUGGGAAACUGAAAAGGGAAAGGAUUAUUCUUUAUUAUCGUAAUAAUCAUCAACAUCAUCUCGGUUCUUCACAGAUGUUCUUCAAUUCGGGCAAUUGAGACUAACUCAAUCUCAGACUUUCGGAAGUUGGUGGCGUAUUGGGUUCUAUUUUCCUUGAUUUCACUCUUUGAUCAUGCUUUUUCCAAGCUCCUUGAAUGGUAAUUUUGCUCAACUGCGUUCCACUAUAUGUGACUCUGUUUGUUUCAUUUCUUUGCCCUUAAGGAAUUUGGAGUUGCUUUUUUCAGUUUUCUUUCCUAUGAAAAUAAUCGAGAUGUUUAAUGUUCCAGGCCUCCAUGUAUUUUAUAUUCCUUCAUUUCUCUGCUUUGACAAAUGCUCACAAUCUGAUCAGCAGAAAGGUUAUAACAUUUGAAAAAGAAGUGGUUUAUUUUUGUUUUUUUUAAGUACAAUAAUUUUCGUUUGGAUAAAUGGUCUGAAGGGUGUUUGUGUUUGGCUGAGUUCAUGGAAUUUUCAAGCUAAUUUGGGAUUUAUUCUCAAUUUCAAGAUCAUUGUGGAUAUGUCAGAAAUUAAUGAAAUAUAAAUGGUGGAAUGUGAUUUUCUUGUUUAAGAAAAGUUUUUCUUUGAAAAUGCGGGUGCACCAGACCUACCUUAUUGNNNNNNNNNNNNNNNNNNNNNNNNNNNNNNNNNNNNNNNNNNNNNNNNNNNAUCAGAUUCAACUGUGAUAGCCCGGAAUUUAAUUCAGUAUUCGACUCUUCUGGGAACAUGUUGGUUAUGGUUUCUCUCUCACUGUCCUCUUCUUUACACAUGACUUUUCAGUUGAGGAGCACAAAGCCUAAUGUUGAAGUGAAAGAGAUCAAAGCACCUGCAGCACCGGAGAAAAAAGGGGAACAGGUAAGUACUCUAAUGUGGCUAUUUAAUUUCUAUGGAGGCAGAUCCCCAGAGAAAUGCUGUUCAUGUAAAUUACUGAUGCAUUUGAUUCAAUGGCCACGGUUUUAAAAGAAAAACCACUUUAUGUAUGUUUCUGUGAAUGAGAGAACAAGUUUAUGGAUUAAAUGAUAUUUUUUAUGGUGAAAUAAUCAAUAAUUUUCAAAAUAAUAAUACAUUCCUGCAUGUUUUUGCAAUUCAUGAAUUCCUUUUAUGAUUGAUUCUUCUCACCUUUUUUCUCACCUCAGUGGAAGUGUGAAGAGCCUAAUGUUGCUCAAAAAGAGAUCCAAGUAGUCAAAGUAACAGAGAUAAAAAAUGGGGGGGAUGGAGCAAAGAGGGUAAGUUUUGCUUUUUAUUUAUAAAGUAGGCUGUCUUCACACAAGGAUUAUUAUUAUUAUUAUUGUUAUUAUUUUAAGACAUGAAUGUUGAAUGAUUUUGGAAUUGUCCUUGAAUCAUGUGAAGUGUGAAUGGUCUAAUGCUGCUAAGGAGGAGGUCAAAGUGACAGAAGUAACACAGAGAACAUUUGGUGGUACAGCACAGUGGGUAAGGUUUCAUGUCAUAUUUAAAUGGCUCCUCAUAUUUCACUAGGAUUAAUUUUGCCCCUACAAACUAUUUGGCUACAAGUUAAGACAGAGUUCCAGAUGCUGAUAAAGCUGAGACAUAAGUAAUGAACGAAUUUAGACACAUGCACAACUCUUGUGUGAAACACAAUGAGAGUGGAAAAUAGCUAAGUUGAAAAAUGGCCAAAUACUAUUUUGUAGUUCCCCCUACCACUUAAGUAAUUUUUGUCAUCCUUUGUGAAUGGAAAAUGCAGUCCCUUCAGUAAUUCCAUUAUAUUCAUGACUUGGUGAAGCAUAUAACCAUUAGUGUCUUACCCUAAGUCGACCUUUAAUGAUGAUCCAUUGAGAUGGGUCUGACUUUUGUCAACCCUCUUAUUCCCUUGAUCAUAGAGGUGAAACUUAGGGGGCUUAACCCACUUUUCAAUCUUAUUGGAUAUAUGGCACGUGGUAUCCUCUUCAUCUUGAAAGAGUGAAGUGGUCAUACUCUUUCCUCUGAGUCCAUUGUGGCCAUGCACUUCAGGCUCAUUGGGCUGAGUGAAAGGAUUCCCUUCUGCUUCAAAUCAUAGAGAGAUAUGCCAUGGUCAGCCUCUUUAAUUCAAGGGAUUGAAGUACUCAAAUCCAUUUCUCUGUAUCCAUCUUAGUUCUGCAUUCAUGUCUCAUGGUUAACCAAGAAGAUCCAGCCUCCAUCCAUGAGAUCAGCAUCUGCAGGUUUAUGACACCACCCUUCCUUUGCAUAGGAAAGGGAUCAUUAAGCCAUGUGUCGGAUGACAGAAGUCAUCAUUCAGGUUAUCUUGAGAACUAAGGAAGUUGGAAUUCUAAUUAUUGCAUAUGGUUCUUGAUGUUUAGCCAAUAUACUAUAGGAUUUUAAGCAUCAUGCUCACGUGCAUUGUGGUUGCUUAUCAGCUAUAUGGUUUGCCAAAAUGAGGGACUGAUUAUGGUCAUAAGUACCUUUUUCCCAUUAAUUUCUUGCAUGUGCUCUGCUGAGAUUAUGUUUUUGACAGUCCAAAUCAGGGCAAACCAACAAACAGCUUUAUGUUAACUUUUACAAACUGCCAUAUUUUCAGGUUAAACAAACAGAGAUAAAUCUUGGUGAAACUAGAAGUAAUACAACCUGUGCUGUGGAGAUAAAAGAAAGGGCAGCAGCACUGGUGGCUGCAGAAAUUGAGGCAUGUAGAGACGAUAGAACCCCCAAGAUACCUCUUCAUGAGAAAGUCCAGAAAGAGUGGGCUUGUGCUGUGUGCCAGUUCACAACCCAAACUGAAGCGACCUUCAAUUCCCACCUUCAAGGGAAGAGACAUCAGGCCAUUUCUGAGCAGCUGAGAGCCAAAAAUCAGGCAACCAAAACCAAUUGUUCCCCAUCUGCUUCAAUGGCCAAGAAAUCUGAUCAGUCCACCAAAGAGGAGCAACCGAAGUGUACUUCCAAUCUGAAUUCCAAAAACAAUGGAAUCUCAGCUGCUUCAACAGUGAAGAAACUUGAUGAGACCAAAGAUGAUGAGCAACAAAAGUCUGCAUCUAGCAAUGGACCGAACCAGAAGAAUAACAAAAAGCAAGAGGUACAGACCAAUGAGCAAGGCCGUCAGAAGAACUUAAGGCAAACUGGUGAUGGAAUGAAAGAGUUGAGAUCAUGGUGCAAUAUCUGUAAUGUAAGCUGCACAAGGGAGCUUGACCUGGCCUCGCAUCUCAAUGGAAGGAGGCACUUUGAUAGGAUAAAGCAGCUGUCUGAAUUAUGGUGCAGUAACUGCAAUGUAAGGUGCAACAGUGAGGUUGAUAUGGC
rnacentral:lncRNA from 1 species